rnacentral:lncRNA from 1 species
UUAACAUGUCUUUUAUGACUCGCAGGCAUCUUUCCUCCUCAGCCACUGCAUUCCAGACAUUGAUUCCCUUGUUGCCGUCCAGUCAGAGGUCGACAAGUUAAGGGGUGAGCUCCAAAGCCGUCAGUCUCGCGAGGAUCAGUUUGCUCGAGAGGUCAAAACUUUGCAAGAGCGCAUUACUGGCCUAUCGGGAGAGAAAGCUCGGGUGGAGAAGGACCGCGAUGAGUUGAGGGCCACCAAUGAUGAUCUGUUAUCCCGACAAAAGACGAUGGCGGAUGAUGCGUUCUCACUUAUCAUUACGGAGGUGUGGAGCGUGGAUCUGGAAUUAGAGGUACCCCGCGUGCAGAAAUUUGUCAACAAGGCCACAAUUUUGAAGACAAUUGCAGAGAGGAAGAAGUCUUCCCAGGCACGGUCAGGUACCCCUUCUGGGUCGCCUGGGGUACCCCGCGCGCUUCAGCCGUUGCCUGCCUCGAAUGCUCCUACUUCGGCUGCUCAUAUUCCGGGUACCUCGGAGUCCUCUGCUGAUCGCCCUAUGGAGACGGAUGUUGGGGAUGACGUUCCCCCCUCGGUGUAGCCUUUUCACUGUGCUCUUGUUUUUUUCGGAUCUAUCCACAUUUUGCUAUUUGGACCUUGUUUCUUUCUUUUUGGUUUCUUGGGAUAUUUUGUAUUAUUGGGACUUCUCUUUUGUUAUGAUACCAUACCACCGAGUCUUGUACUUUGCAUGCUUGUUAUUCUGCAAAUGAAUGUUUGGCUAAACUGUUAUCUCGUAAAUUUUCAAGGUACCCCUUUUUUUUUUUUAAAUGUGGUACCCCCAGUACCUUAUCAAAUAUUCAACAUCAAGCGCUAGCUGGUGUACACAGAUCGGUGAAUUUGGUGCAUGCCCUUCUUGGCAACCAUGGCGGAUUUCUCACAACUAGGUAAUCAAAAUAUCAUCGUGACAUCUCGAUCAAACGUUGAAAGCGCAAUUGGUCCAACCAAUCACUUUCUUAUUCUUUUGAAGUUCCCUCCAAAUUUUUCAAAUAGCUUACCCCCUACUUUGCUCAAGUAAGAGGACGGAGGUGUGGGUGUACUCAUACCUAAGCUGAACCUUGUGGCGCUAGGGUAUGCCGGUUUUACUCCACCCUCGGGUCCUUUUUGACCCUCCCUCUCUUUGUUUAGGUAGCUUUGUCAUGCUUCCGCAGAAAGGCUACCCUUGGGCUGUUCACUCUGUUGCCCAUCUUGGCUUUGCAUAGAUCGUCACGAUCUAGGCAUAUCAGGUACCCUGGCUGGUCUUGUGAUAGGUUAGUCAUAAUUGACAAGUGUAUGGCGAGAAUUGCAUAUAACCAGAUGCGAGGGUAUAUUAAUGGCAAUAAAUGAAUAUAAUCUGCAUUCUAAGAUCGAAGUGGCGAAAAAUAGAGAAAGAACCCACAUCAUAUUUGUUGAGAAAGAAAAUACAUUUAUAGAUAAUGAAAGCGUUGAUCAAUACAUGACUUAGCUUUGUUACCCUGAGGAGAAUGGGAGACCGCAAGACCUCCUAUCCUUUUCAUUUGAAAAUUAAAGAAACUCUAAAGUUGCAACUGACCAACAUAGGACAUUUGGGGUACCCCAUUUGGCCUACCACACAAAAACAUUAAAGAAAGCAAAUAACAGCAAAAGACUAGAGGUUAAGACAAUGUCCUUUAGUAAUAUUUCCGUAGCAUUGCAGUAUUCCAGGGGUGCCUCACGAUUGUGCCAUCCAGGUGGAGCAGCUUGUAUGCACCUGUCCCAACGGGUUUGUCGAUGCGGUAAGGUCCUUCUCAAUUUGCCCCAAAAGCGCCUUCGCAGGGUACCCUAGUGUUUUGAGUUACCAUUCUCAAGACCAAGUCUCCUUUCUUGAAGGAUCGAGGGCGUACCAUUUUUUCAUAUAGACCCGAAAUGCGAUGCUGAUAUAUGGCUGUCAUCAGUUCUGCUCUAGCCCUUUUCUCAGCUACCAAAUCAAGGUUUGAAAAAACCAAGGAGGUGUUCUCGGCCUCAUUAAAGUAUUCAACCCUGUGAGAGGGUACUCCGAUUUUCGCUGGGAUUACUGCGUCAAUACCGAAUGCGAGGGAAAACGGGGUCUCCCUGGUGGAGGUGUUUUGAGUAGUCCGGUAGGCCCACAGAACCCCAGGUAGCUCGUCUACCCAUGCUCCAUUUCUUUCUUCUAGCCUCUUAUUCAGGAUACCUUUGAUAAUCUUAUUAACGGCUUCGACUUGCCUAUUAGAUUGGGGAUGGGCAGGUGUAGCAAAUCGGUUGGCUAUCCCUAGCUCCGAACAAAAACUUUGAAAUUUUUCAUUGUCAAAUUGCUUACCAUUAUCACUAACAAUUGCAUAGGGGAUCCCAAAUCUGCAAAUAAGGUUCUUCCAAAUGAAUUCCGUGGUUUUCCUUUCUGUGAUGCUUGUUAGUGGCUCCGUUUCCGCCCACUUUGUGAAAUAAUCUACCGCCACGAUUGCAUAUUUUGUUUGCCCCCUUUCGGUAGGUAACGGGUCAAUGAGGUCCACUCCCCACAUAGCGAAGGGCCAAGGAGAGGUUAUAACUGUUAACUUCUCUGAGGGUAGGUGGGGUACCCUGGCGAACCUUUGGCAUUUGUCGCAGCUUCGUACUAUAUUCUUGGCAUCUUCCCGCAUGGUUGGCCAGUAGUACCCCUGCCGGAGAGCUUUUUGCGCCAGUGAUUGUGCUCCAUCCACAAAUUCCCUCAUGUAUUUCCCUCAUGACAUACUCGGCCUCGUUGCUUUCCAAGCAUUUAAGGUAAGGAAUGGUGAACCCUCUUCUGUAUAGGGUAUCCUGGAUCAGGCAGUACCGCGCAGCUUUGUACUUUAGUCUUCUUGCUUCACUUUUAUCUGAGGGGAGGUCUCCGUCCUUGAGGUACCUAAUGAUAGACUCCAUCCAAAGUACCUCAUUGGACAGUGAUUCUACUUCCAAUAGCUCUGGGAGACCAAAGCUGGGUGCGGGUAUGUGUUCUGUCGUGAUGGGGCCAGAUGACUGGGCUACCCCAAGGGAUGCCAUUUUUGCCAGGGUAUCAGCUUCGCUGUUCUCCAGUCGGGGUACCCUUUCCACCUUAACCUCGUAAAAUUGGGACAUCAACUCUCUGGUUUUUUCGAGGUACCCCUUCAUGUUUUCUUCUUUCGCUUGAUAUUGCGCGGUAAUCUGGCUUACCACCAACUGGGAGUCACUCUUGAUGUGUACCAUUUUUGCUCCCAAAGCCUUCGACAUCCUCAACCCCGCUAUGAUGGCCUCGUAUUCGGCUUCGUUGUUUGAAGCCUUGAAUCCAAAUUGCAGAGCAUAACAUAUUUUCACCUUGUUCGGGUCGAUUAUAAUAACUCCCGCACCACUUCCGUGUGAGUUAGAGGAACCAUCUACAUAUAUUUUCCAGACCUGUUCCCCUUCGUCGGUGGAUGGGGUAUUUGACAGGUACCUUAGAUCACCUUCACCACUCGAGUCAUUGGCAAAUUCCGCAAUGAAAUCAGCGAUGACUUGGGCUUUAAUCGCUGAACGAGGCUUGAAGAUGAUGUCAAACUCACUUAAUUCGAGGGACCAUCGGAGAAUCCUUCCGGACAUGUCUAACUUCUGGAGGAUUUGCCGGAGGGAAAGGUUGGUGACGACUGCAAUGGUGUGAGCUUGAAAAUAUAGUCUGAGCUUCUGUGCGGAGACAACUAAUGCCAAAAUGAUAUUUUCAGAGGUGGGGUACCUCUUUUCGGCAUUAACCAUAGCCUUACUAGUGUAGUAAAUAGGUCGUUGUACCCCAUUAUCAUCCUCUCGGAGUAACACGGAGUUGGUGGCAUGCUCGGAUACGGCGAAAUACAACAGAAGCACCUCUCCUGGCUCGGGUUUUGGCGAGUAAUGGAGCAUUCACGAGGUACCCCUUCAGUUCUUGGAAAGCUUCUUCGCAAUCGGGUGUCCAUUGGAGCUUCUUACUGGUCUUCAAAGCUUUGAAAAAGGGCUUACACCGGUCUGUAGCCUUAAAGAUAAAGCGGCUCAGGGCAGCUACCCGGCCUGCCAAGCUUUGAACCUCCUUGAUGGUGCGUGGCGACUUCAUGUCAAGAACCGCGCAAAUUUUAUCGGAGUUGGGCUUCAAUCCCCCGUUGUUGUACCAUGAAUCCGAGAAACUUUCCCGAGGUAAUCCCGAACGCACAUUUUUCAGGGUUAAGCCGCAUCUGGUGUCUUCUCAAAACGGUAAAGGUAUCUCUAAGGUGCUCCAAGUGUUCCCUCGCAUGCACCGAUUUGGUGAUCAUGUCGUCUAUGUACACCUCCAUGGUGCGCCCGAUUUGUUCCUUGAAAAUUUUGUUCACUGAAAAUUUUGUUCACUAGCCGCUGAUAGGUAGCCCCGGCAUUCUUCAAACCAAACGGCAUAACCUUAUAGCAGUAUAACCCACGGUUGGUGAUGAAAGCUGUUUUCUCUUGAUCGGGUUCAUACAUUGGAAUCUGGUUGUAACCGGAGAAGGCGUCCAUAAAACUAAGCAUUUCAUGCCCCGCUGUUGCAUCAACCAGCUGGUUUACCCGGGGAAGCGGGAAGUUAUCCUUGGGGGCAGGACUUGUUCAAAUCGGUGAAGUCCACGCACAUACGCCACUUUCCGUUUGAUUUCUUGACAAGAAUACCCAAUUGGGGUACACUGCUUCCCGGAUAAACCUCGCUGCUAAUAAGCGGUCUACCUCUUGUUCAAUUGCAUCGUACCUCUCUUGGUUGAAGGCACAACGCUUCUGUUUGACCGGUUUAUUACGCAGGCUGACAUUGAGUUUGUGACAAGAGAGGGAAUGUGGGAUACCCGGCAUAUCCGAGUGGGACCAAGCGAAUACAUCGUGGUGCUCACGUAGGAAGGUGAUGAGCUUCUCUCUUUGUUCCUCCGAGAGGUUGGAGCAUACUUUCACUGUCUUUGUUGGGUCGGUGGCGCAAAUCGAGACUGAAAUAAGAUCUUCAACUGGGAUACCCUUUUUUUCAUCUUUCAAUAUUCGGGGAUCCAAGGGUGCCUCGACUUCACAUUUGGGCUCCACCUGAUCCCCGUGGGGUACCCUUGAGCUAUCAUCCGCAACUACUUUUACGCCCAUUGGUGAGGAUUCCAACCGUUUUCGUGGGUGGGCUACCUGAGGAGAUUUUUUGAGUACCGCUCUUCGCUGUCUAGCAAGUGCUCGCUUUGAGGGGUAAGGUGUGGGCUGGCUGCCACUGGGGUACCCCUUCAUUGGCGAAUCAGAAGCUAUUUGGUAAGUGACUUUGGAGGCCACAGAGAAACAUCCACGAGCCGAUUGCUGGUCCCCUUUAAAGGUGAUAACUUCUUGGGCGGCCGGGACUUUCAUGGCGAGGUAGUGCAUGGAUACCACCGCUUUAGUUGCUACUAAGAACGGCCUACCCAAUAUAAUAUUGUAGGCACCUGGGUGAUCUACAAUAAGAAAAUCAAUCAUAUGAACAACACGGUGAGGUACCUUACCAAGUGCAACGGGCAGUGUAAUGAUGCCCUUUGGUAUAACCAUAUCUCCGGCGAACCCAAUAAGAGGCGUAGCAUAAGGGGUGAUCUUUGGCGACUCAAUCAAUAGUUGAUCCAAUGCGCUUUUGAAAAUGAUGUCAACGGAGCUGCCGGUAUCUACAAGAGUUCUUGCUACCUUACCGGUGGCAACCUUCAACGUAAUUACUAAGGCAUCAUCAUGGGGGUACGAGAUACCCUCUGCAUCUUUUUUUGUAAAAAGGAUAGGCGGGGGAUGGUGGGGUACCUUCGGUGUACCCCGUUCAUUAAGGUUGACCUCUCCGCCAAUAUUGGUGGUUAUCGACAACGAUCUACCAUAAUUUUUAAUAGCUCUCCUAGAUUGGCCCGCUAAAGUCGAUCCGCCCAUGAUCAUCCGGACAUACACGUCUUUCUUAUGUCCAGGGGGUACCUCUCGUUCAGGACUGCCAUCAGCUACCCGCUUGCCCUUAUCUUUCUCCGCAGAUUUCCGAGCUUCUCUCAUGCCAGCAACAAAUUCUUUAAGGUACCCGCUGAGAAUCAAAGAUUCAAUUUCCUCUCGCAAGGUGAAACACUCGGAUGUGCUGUGACCAAAGUCCUCAUGGAACUCGCAAUACUUCAGGCUACGCUUCAUGUUGGGGUACUUCUUCAUUGGCUUAGGAGGACGGAGGAGGCCGCUAUCCCGAAUAUGGUAGAAGAUCUGCUCUGGGGAUUGAUUCAGUGGAUGGUAAGAUUCGUACCAAGGCCUCGGUGGUGGUUCUCACUGAUCCGGUGGUGGCGAUCUUGGAGGUUGGGGUACCCUUGAGGUACCCUGAGGGUUAUACCCUCGUCCCCACAGGGCAGCCCGUGGAGGGCUCCGUGCUCGGGGUACCCGCGGUAUUGAGGCCUCCAUCCUCUUGGGCUUCUCCUUGUUCUUUGUGACAUCGGCCCUAUCCUCUUGGCGCUUCAAUUGGUAUUUUUCGUCCAUCUCCACUUGCUGCAACGUGCGGGAACGGGCUUCCCCAUAUGAAAGUGGGCGCUUCUUUUGAAAAGAACGCCAUAACUUGCCCAACCGUAAAUUUUUCUCAAAAUGGGUCAAUGUGUAUUAGUUUCCAAAUGCUCCGGUCCGCAGCACCUCUUGGUGGAAACGACUCACAUACUCCGCCAAAGGCUCGGCUUCCCAUUGCUUGAUAAAGACAAGUUUGGAGGCUACCCUAUCGUAGGUGGAAGCAUAGGAAAACUCUUUAGUAAAUUCGGAUAACAAUUGGUGUAGGGAAGAUAUGCUACCCACUUUCAAAGAGCGAAACCAUGAUUUCGCGGGGCCCGUGAGUGUGUGUGUAAACAUCCUACACAUGGCACUCUCAUCUACACCCUUGAUAAGCAUCUGGUCGCGGUAUAGCUCAGCAUGCUCCGAGGGGUCAGUGGUACCCGAGUAUUGGGGUAUCUGAGGCAUGGCGAACGCUUCGGGGAGAGCUGUCGUCCAAAUCUCCAUAGUGAAUGGCGAUUGGUAGGUCAUUGGCGUUGGAGUAGCUGUGAUGUUUUGCUUCUCAGAGAGGAGCUUCACUUGGGCUUCCAGGUUCUCCAUUUUUUCCACAAGUUCGAGGGGUACCCUCGGUGUACCCGAUGAUGUCGCCGCCAUUUGAGAAGCUCUUUUGGCGUUUAACUUCUCACGGAGAUCUUCGUGGGUACGCUUUGCACACCUCGUAUCUUGGUUGCUGCGGGAAUUACAAGAGGCGGUGGAACGCUCGUCGCGGGAGCCCACGGUUUGAAACUUAGAACGGGUACCCGAUGGCCUAUGCUUUGGUUUGCUGGCCUCGGGUACCUCUUUUCUGACCAUAUCUUGGUCACUUGUUUGAGGUGGUGGAGCAUCUAGCGUCACUGGUGGAAGUGAACUUUCGGGUGCCCGAGAUCCAACCGCCCUAAGUAUUGCGUGGGCAAGAUCCUCGAAACGUUUGUGAGAAAUAGAUUCCUCAUCUUGGCGAACACCCGUCGAUUGCUUGAUACCCUUACCCUUACUGAUGCGGGCUACCCUUCUUGCGGGAUCAUUACCUUCGCUGCUGCUGUCAUCUCUCAUCCUUGUAGGAUCCCCCAUUAAACCUUCGGGAGGUACGUCGGGUGCCGUGUAUUGGAGUACACACAACAACUAGUUUGGUAACCGCGGAGGAGGCUUUUUGUGCGUCUCCCCACAGACGGCGCCAAUUGUUUUCAACUGAUUUUGGGGUAAGAAAAGCCAAACCAAUCUAGAACAAUAAAUUUGUUAUUUUGAGGGAGAUGGGGUACCUCACUAGUUUAUUGUGUGCGGUGCGGUGUAUCUGAAAUUCGGGGGAGGUGAGAAGAGGAGAGAGAGUGGUAACAAUGGUGGAAGGUCAGAAACAAGAGAGGUGUCCUUCAAAAUGAGCUUCACGCCUGCAAAACAAUGAAAUAGAGGUCAGAGGUGAAGCCGGGGUACCCCGGCGUUCACACUCCAACGCUCAAGUUAGCAAACUCAAGCUUUUAUGGUCAAGAGAGCUGGCUAGCCCUCUGUAAAUUAGGGUUUAAGGUUGAAGAAAACCUAUUUUUUGGAGUGUGAGUGUUAAUGGUGAGUGAGAACAUGAUGGAGAAUGAAACAUAUGCACCUUUAUAUAUGGAGUACCUCAGCUGCCACAUGGCGUACCAUUUUUAGUUAACGUUCUUUUACCUUUUUAUGAUUUUUGGGCCGUUAGGUGCAUGUUGGCGGCGUAUCUCAUGCUUUGGAAACGUGGUGCGCGCUGGAGAGUGGUCCAUGGUACCUCUGCAGUAGCUGUCGGGUAGGCGGCUGGGGACCACUGUCCUUGGGACAGUGUCCUUCACUUUUGGCAGAGGUAGCAGGCGGUUGUCCCUCCUUUUAGCACAUCGUUUUUUAUUCCUAAUUCUGACAAAAUCGAAUAAUAUCUUUUAGGAGGCGGAGACGUUUCUCAAGGCGGAUAUGUCUGGAGGAUUCUCUUGCAUUCGUUCUGUCGGGUACCUCGAGUUACGUGGGGUACCUCUUAUUAUGCGGGGUACCCUUAUUUGUAUGGGGUACCUCAUAUUAUAUGAGGUACCUCUAUUUGUGUGGGGUACCUCUAUUUGUAUGAUGUACCUCAAAUCACGCCGGGCAUCUCGAAUUGUGCGGGAUACCUCAGAUUGUGCUGGAAUCAUUCCAUUGAUCGACACGUGGCGCUUUACUACCUUUCCUAUUUUUCCCUCAAACAGAUAGCUAAUUAAAUAAAAUUAUUUGAAAAAAAAAUUCAUCAAAUGAAACUGUUUUUAUUAUAAGAACUAUGAAUAAUAUAUUUAAAAAAUCCCAAAUUAUACAUAUCAGUUAAGUUCAGAUUUUCCUUCGGCAGCGAAAUUUGUGGGCAAAAUACUAUACACAUAAAUCUCUAAUUUUUCCCUUAAGAUGGGUAUAUUUUCUCAGAUGGCCUUCCUGAACGAACCCACAUUUCUCCAACACUCUCUGGGAAGCCUUAUUUUCUACAUCAAAUUAAGCUUGUAAUCUUAACACAUCGGGAAAGUCCUUGAAAACUUCAUUAAGGGCAAGUUUCACUGCCUUGGAGGCAAUCCCAUGGCCCCAGUACUUCACGGCAAUAGCAUACCCUAUAUCGGCCCUACACCUGUCGUCACCCGAUCCCGGGAAGAUCGAAACGAACCCAAUCGAACGGUCAUAUAUGCAUAUGGACCUACGCCAAGGGUGGGGUAUACAAACAUCCUUGAUGUAGGUCAACGCUUCUUCCCCGGAUGUAAAAGUGUUCCAUCUGAGGGAUCUUGUUACUUGUUCAUCCCCUGCCCAUAACAUGAAAUCAUCAACGUCCGUUGCCUUGAAUUGACGGAGGGUGAUCCUUGAUAAAUCAAUCUCCAUUCGGUGAGAGGACACUGUUAACUACAUUUCUGCUCUCAUUUUAUUUGUAGCCAAUUUCGGACAAGCUUUUCAAUAUUAAAUGCGUUACCAGUCUUAUUUUAUUUAUAGCCAAUUUAGGCGAUACACGUAAGAGGAUGACAAGGGUCCAAGUGUUGUAACCACAAUCUGAACACUUUUUUAAGUCGGCAAAAUCUAUCUAUUCUAGGCUGUGGAGUAGGGUCGGCUCAAUAAAAUUUUGGGCCCUACGCAAAAUCUCUAAAUUAGGCCUUCUUAUUUCAAAGAAAGUUAAUUUAUGAUUAACAUUUUUACAAUAAAUAUGUAUGAUUACUUUUUUUAGAUAUAAAUCGUUAACAAAUUUCCUACAUGAUAAUUAUUUAUUGCAUUUAUUUCUUUUUUCUUAAAGAAGAAAUCAUUAAAUAAUUUUAUUUGAUGGAAAUUUAACUUUAAAAAAGAGAAUAAUUCUCAACUAAAUCUCGGUGGGGUCUAAAUUUAAUUAAGAUUUAAUGUUAAAUGAUUGAAAAAUAUUGAAAUCCUACAUUUUAAAUAAGAAAAUAAUUAAAAACAAUUUUUUUAGUGGAGCUAUAUAUUAAGGAGUAAUGAUACAGCCACAAACUCUUGUACAAACUUAUUUUGUACAAACUGAUGUGGCAUGAUAAUAUUGGUUGAAUUAAAUAUCACUUGGCCCACAUGAUUUGUUUUUAUUAAUUUAUAUUUUCAUUCAACCAAUCUUAUCAUGCCACGUCAGUUUGUACAAAAUAAGUUUAUACAAGAGUUUGUGACUGUAUCAUUACUCUAUAUUAAGAUGGGGCGUAAUGUUUAGGUGAGCAAAUAUAAUUAUAAAUAAUAAAAUAAACCUAAAAUAGGAUUUUAGCAGUUCUCUGAUUGUAUUACGAAUAGGAAACUCACUUAAAUGAUCAAAAAGUCAAAGAGGCAACAAAUUAAGUAGUUUUGCUAAAAGCGAAAAAUAGAGAGCCCGAAACUAAUAAAAAUUUAACGAGAGUUGGGAGGGGGCCGCGCGAACGCAGGCCCCCACUGCCACAAAUUAUGACGUAGGCUCAACCACUUUGGGUUGACCUUAGGCGGGUGCACCUCCCAAGUGCAAUGGAGGCCACCAACCUAGGCCAUGGGCCUUCAUGAUCGCCCAUUGACCCCGUCCAGGUAAGUAUGUUCUUCAGUUGCUUGGCGCUCAUUAUUUAUAUCUUUUGUCAUGGCUGCUUUUUUGUAUCGCUUCGAUGUGGGAUACAUUAGUUUUUCAUUAACCAAAUUACCAAAGCAUAGCCAUAAAAUAGAUCUCUUUGACAGACACUAUCAUAUUGAGGAUCAACUCAUACAAGUUGGCAACAAUUGUUCAUCAGCCAUCACGAUGAGCUUAAUCCUGAAAAAUAUUCUAUACUAUUAUUCCGUUAAAGCAAAUUAAAACCUGAGAAAUUCAACCAACAAAAAAAAAAAAAAACCAUGUAAAUCGACUGACGAAAACCUUGAGUAGUUCUUUUAAUCAUAAUGAAAGAGUGGCAGUUACUUCCAACCAUCUGACCAUUCAGCUUCAUCAGCAAGAGGUUUUGGAGUUUCCGUAACCUCUUCAGCUUGAAAUGGUUGUCCCGACGAACCUGAGUUCGAGGAAUACGGAUCAUCUGCACACUCUUGUCUUUCAGGAGCAGGGCAGCCUUGGUAAGAGUUAUUGUCACAACAAUGCCACAACAGCUUGUUCCAGUAAGGGUCCUGCAUUCAGAAGAACCAUAAAUCAUUAAUUUUCUCAACUGCCUAAUAUAUCAUACAAUUAUGCAUACCUAGGCAAGAUUAAUAUUUCAGAAAAUCCGAAAGACAUCCCUCAGGUAGUUGUGUAAUGGUGAUCGAUAAAAUAUUGUUUAAUGAGUGGACAAUGUAAAUGGCCUCACUAGACACUGUUAAUGACGGCAAAAAAUGGACUAUGCUUCAAAGAAUAGACUGAUAAAAGAAUGUACAGCAUUUAAUACUGCAGAUAUCUGCUUCUUUCAAAUAUUCCUCUGAGAUUAUUCCAAACCAUUUUAUAAUCUAAAUGACCUUGCAAUUGUAAUGGUUCGAUAAGCAAGCAUAUUAAAUUAUAGCAUUGGCAAUGUACUUAGAAGAGGAUAUGUGAGUACCUGACAGACUAUGUGAGGAUUCCCAACAAUAAUAAGCAGUGAUCUGGCACGAGUGAUGGCAACAUUAAAUCUCCUUGGAUUGCUAAGAAAUCCGAGACAGUAAGUUCUGUCAAAUUCAUUGUGUUUGACUGUUGAUCUGACAGUCGAUACGAUGAUGACCUCUCUCUCUUGUCCUUGAAAUUGUUCAACAGUCCCGACCUUAACAUCCGGCAUAUCCCAUGUUUCAAGUACUUUCUUGAUUUUGAGGACCUGCUGGCGGUAAGGUGUUAUAACCCCAAUAUCUGUCUCAUUAAGCUCUGUAUUUUCUCUCAGCUUGUUGAUGAUAUCGACAACCUUGCUUACCUCGAAUCUGUUAAACCAUGAUGGAUUGUUACCCUCUCUUUCAUCACAGCCUUGAAUACCAAAGAACAGAACAGGAAAGUCUUUGUUCGGAAAGAUGUCCACCUUAGCACUUGACAAGGAAGUGGCAUCAUCUUUGCAUGCCAGUAACUCCCCUCCAUAGAAGAGCUUCGAAGGGAGAUCUAGAAUUGCAGGAUGACAACGAUAAUUUCUCACCAGCUUUGUAACAUAACCUUCAUCUCCAUUGCGGUAAAAUUCACAUUCGAAAAGCCUUUCAAGAUAUGAUUUUCCUAAUCCAAAAGUCUCCGCAUCUUUUGAAUAUAUAACCGGACCUAGUUGCUUCGGAUCUCCAGCAAGAACAACAACCGUUUGUUUUGUACAAAGGUUUGCUAUGGGAAUCAUGCUUUCUGGCUCUGAAGCUUGUCCGGCCUCAUCUAAGAAAAUGUGAGAAAAAUUACCACGUUUGAUACCAUUUGUAUUAAGUAGAGAUGAACUCAUAUAUGUAGAAAUGAUGAUCCUGUAACGCCCCAAGGCCUCGCGUGGAGGGCAUUUGAAAAUGGACCCCUCAAAAAAGCAGAAGCGAAUAAAAUCAGUUGGAACAUCCUCAUAAGGACGGCUUGUAGCAUUCAGCCUAAGUAUUUCAUUCUCUUUAAUUCCAGCAACUUCAUUGGAGAUGAGUCUCUCUAACAUGUGAUCUGCUGCACUGUUUGAAGCAGCGCAUACAAGAAUCCGACUAUGCUCUCUAGUCGAAUAUACUUGUAAGAUUGCUUCCACCAGAGUCAUCGUUUUACCUGUGCCAGGAGGCCCAUAAAUCACAUAGGGAGGCGCACCUUUGCAUCCAAGGAUGAUCUCAACAGAACGCGUCUGUUCCUCAUUUAGACUAGUAAAAGGCACAAAUGGGGCUGCCUUAAUCGAUCUCCGUGUGGUUGAUUGUGAUGGAAAGAGAAGAUUGGGUUCUAAAUUCUCUGCUGCUUGAACUGCUUGAUACAUCCUCCUCAUGUUUAUCCUAUUAUAAGUGAAGCUGACAUUGUACAAGCUGCCAUUUCUGUGUUGAGUGUGAAAUUCUUUGGCGAAUUUCAGGAUCACUUCAUCAGCCUCGACACGGUAGAUGGAACCCUGUAAACAUCCCUUAAAUAAGUAUAAAGAUUUUGAAAAAGAAAGAUUAUACUAUUCAAAAUUCAAUAAUAUAAGUUCAUAUAUAAAUAUAUAUAAAUAACUAAGCCAUUGAAAGUAGUUAAGACAUCCAUGCUCAAGAACAAGCUGAUCAAGGCUCUCCUCAAGCUAUGUUUUCAAAAUAAAUGACCAAAAGAGAAAUGUAUUGUGGAACCAUAUGCAGUAAAAUAAAAUCAUGAAUAGGCAGCAUCAUGACUUCAAAAGAGAGAGAUGAGAUGUAACUUCAUUGUCCCAUUAGUUUAGAAGCAAGACAUGGUUGGGCAAGGAAAAGAUUAUAAAUUUCAAAUUGAUUGGUGUUUCAACAUUGAAGCAUGCUACGGCACUCUUCUGAGAGAAGAAACAAUUAUUCCAAGACGAGGAACAAACCCGACACACUUUCUUGGCAUCAGCAUUUGCGGCAGCAAGCUUCACGAAAACGAAAUCCCCAUGUACAAGUGAAGGCCUCCUCUCAGCUAAACCCGGGACAUCAAGAGCCAGUAAGUGAGCCCCUUUCCUCCUCAUGGUGACGCAUUCCAUGCUAUGGCACCGCAUAUCUUCCUGCACGAAACCAAACAAUUUCAGAUCCCACUAGAAAAAGAAGAGAGCAGUUAAAGAUUAUUACCUCAACUGAGAUGGCAUUAAUUAAUUACCUCCAAACGUAGCUCUUCCAUAACAAGCAAUGUACUGAAAAAAGAAAAAUAAUUCUUCCUCACCAGGCCCUCUACCAGAAAUUGAGGGAGUAUCUUGUUUGCCAGCGACUCACGAACAUCAUUUGGGAUUGGAAAUUCGGGGAGCUUAUAAUUGGAACCUCGUUUUGUUGUUCUAGCUUCUGUUGUUGUUCUAGCUGGACUCGAGGAAGCAACAUAUUCAUCAACUGCAGAUUGCAUUUUUCUUGGUACUCUCGAGUAUGGUCGAUUAGAAGCCAGAGACCGAGAGACACUGUCUUCAGCCAGCAGUAACACCAUUCGUUCAAAUCUAUCAUCCCCGAUAUCAAAUUGCACCACAGAUUUAUGCAAACCCAUUUCCUUAGGCUUGCAAGAUAACCAAAUGGUUAAAGUCCUGAGAGGUUGAAGCACUCUGUCCUCAAUAGAGAAUCCCUCUAAAAAGCCUUGAUCUUUCUGAGGGUCCGGUUUGCCUGAAGGCGGUUCCAUUAGAGAUAAAGUGAGAGAAUUUGCGGGCUCUGAGCAGUAGAUUCUGAUUCCCCAAACUUCAACCGGUUCAGGAGUAGUGUUCUGAAUUGUAAUUGAACACUUGGAAGUUUCUCCUACAAGAAUAGACUGAGGUUUCCCUUGAACAAAAGGAAAUGGAACCGAUAUGAUAACGGGACCCUCCCCACUUGGAUCAUAGCUCAAAACUGAGUGAUCGUCUUGAAAAUCAAUAAAUCCAAUCUCUCUUUUUUCUCCUGUGACAGAGCAUUCGUCGUCCCAACAAUCCUUUUCAAGGUUGCUCAUCGUUCAAAUGGUAUGAAUCAAACUAAGUUCCUGAAAUGCUUAACAUGUACCAAUAAAGUAAAUACUACUUACACAUAGAACAAAGAUACAGCAACAAUUCAUCACAAAAAAUGAUCCAAAGGAUAACACUAAAGUCACCAGAAUAUAAAGAACAAUAACACUCUUUAACGAACAGAAUGUUACAAAAGUCUAACACCAAGAACAACAUUCAACCUUUGAAGUCCCAAAAAUUUAGUAGGAGUAUAGUUUUAAUCAAUAUUAACAACUAGAAUUUCCAACUCUUCACUAAAGUAAUAGCAUCCAUUCUCUCGGCCAUGAUUUUCUCAAAAUCAAAAUUAAAAAAAAAAAAACACAAGCUCAUUUGAAAUACAAGACAUGGUAAUAAGAUUAAACGAACUAUAAUCUGAAAAGAGAUAACAAGCACGAACCUUUGAUUGAAAAAAAGCCUUAAAAUCUGAAAUGGGCAGUGAAAAGUUUGAAACUUCAAUGGGCAGUGAAAAGUGAAUGUAUUAAUGCUGCAUUUGCAUUUGCUUUAAAAGGAAUUGAACUGGCUUUCUACUUCAGAAGUUGGAAGGACAGAAGAAGCAUAAGGAGAGUGAGUAGAAGAAACCGCCUUUCAUAAAGACAACGUGUUUUUGAAGUUUCAAUGCAAGUACUAACAAUAAGCGCGUUUUCAGAACUAAGAGAAUCUCAGAUUUUUGUUUCAGUACGUAGAAUUAAAAAGACUGAUGCGAACACGUGGCAGGAUAUUACUGGGUACUUGUUGGGAGUCAAUAGACAGUUUGAUGGGUUUACUUUUGCCAAAGGGGAAAAAAUUAAAAAAGAAACACGGCUGUUCUCUCCAUUUGAUAAUAAAGGAAACAUAACGAAUUGCUGAGCUGUAAUCCGGUGCACUCAAUAUCAUGAUAGACGCUCGCGUUUUAAAAGGUUAUUGGCUCAAACCAUUCUUUGAGGAGAUUCGUGGUUUGUUAUUAUGUAUUCGAUUGUGGCUGAUCACUGCUUCUUACUUGUUGCCUUGUUGGAGAAGGGCUGUUAUUAUGUACUCGAUCGUGGCUGAUCACUGCUUCUAACUUGCUGGAGAAGGGCUUUCUUAAAUGGACUAAGUAAAGAAUUUGUGGUCUGUUACUUCUUGGAGAAGGCUUUGUUAUUUGCCCCCAGCCGAGUGCUCUCAAGAGUUUUAAACUUUUAAUUUAACUGCCCAGCCGAGUUUGAAUCUGGAAUAGAUAAUUAAACAAAUUAAUUUGAACUUUACUUUUUUUUUUCCCGCAUUGAAAUAGAUCUGGCUCUACAAAAUUCACGCGGACUACCCAAAAUCAGUACCCCCACCCCACGGCCUUCUUGAUACUACUUGAUGAUGGAGAUGCACGAUGAAAAAUGAUUUUGAUUAUGAUAUAACAAAAUACGAAGAAAUGAAAAACAAAGUGUGAUCAAGAUAAGGUAUGUGACUGCAUGAGUAUAAUUAAGUGUGUCAAGCUUCGCUACAUGCUGGACUUAGGUAGCUUGAAAUGUGUACAAUCGCGCACUAGAUCAAUUUCUAAUGAAAACAUAUUGAUAUGAAUUCAAACAUUAUUAUCUAAAAUCUUAUUAGAGUCAGCCAAAAUUUGACAUGUUUUAUGGAGGGGGCUUGCCAGAAUUUAGGGAGAUGAGUGAUGCUAUUGGCAUCCCUAAAAACCCCUCAUAGAGUUAACAAUUUUUUCAUUAUUCAAAAUUACAUAAAAGGAUAACUGGCAGAUUUUGAAAUAAAUAUCACUUCUUCAAUAAUCUAAUCGCAGGUAGAUUAGAUGAUUUUUCUUCUUUUUUUGAAGAUGGCCUUCAAUUCACUAUUAUUUUUACAAUUUUUGUUGACAAUUCCUUUCUCAACAAAAUAUUAAAGGAAUUACAUCUCUAACUAUUGUCAACUGUAUCGUGCGAAUAAUUUGAUAUUUAUAGCUUUUUUUCUUUCUUUUUUUUCUCAUUAAGUGUACGUUUAUUUGGUCAUAUUUAAUUCUUUUCAAAUCUUAAAAUUAAUUUUACUUUAAAAGAGAGAGCCUUUUUUCUUAAAUAAAAAGUAUGAGCGUUUAAAGAUAAUAUUAUCUUCAAUUAUAGGAUACAAAGAUAAUAUCAUUAUCUGAAUUAUGAUGGGAUAUUUGAUGGGUGCUUAUAGUUUUAUUCUAGGGAAAAGCAUAUUGAUAACAACCCAAACAAACGGACUUGACUAGCUUACAGAAUCUGUAAGCUACAGACUGCAGCAUCAGCCGUUGGAUGUGGUUGGAUGUGGAGUGAGAAACUAAACAAUAGACAAUCGGAUGGUGGGAUGACGGGAGAUGUUUGUUACAGAAUCUGUACCAUAGACAGGUCCCAAACAUUAAUAUCUAAAAUCUUAUUUGACUCGCCAAAACCUGACAUGCUUUAUGGAGGGGACUUGCUAGAAUUUCCGAUAGAAAUUAUGGCCUAGGAUCAGCCACCAUGGGCUAACCUUAAACGGGUGCACCUCCCAAGUGCAAUCUAGCCCACCAACCUAGCACAUAAGCCAGGAGCCGUCUUCAUCACUCAUUCACCCACCCAAAUAAAUUUUAGUGUACAUUUCUCUGCAUUCCUUAUUUAUAGCUAUUAGGAAAGCAGCACGAUCGUCUCUUGCCGACGUGGGAUUAAUAUAGUGUUUUCAUACUUUGUCAAGAGUCGGAAAUUGAAGAGUGGAGACUAUAUGAAGCAGCUAUAUACUGUUGCAAUUAAAGAUGGUUUGAUGCAACAAAAUUAGAAACAAACGUUGUUUCUACAUUAUGGUGACAAUUGUUCAUGUCCAGCAAAUGUAUAUUUUGGCAUAUUCUUAAAAGAAAACAAAAGCAUAACGUUUCUCACAAGAAUGUUGUUACAUGCCGUACACAACUGAGAGUUUGAUAAAGUUUUAGUUAUGAUCAAUAUGAUGUAUAUCUUGCAUGAGAAAUAUGUUCAUGCAUGAAUUGGAAUCUCCAUUUAUUUAUUUAAUUUAUUUAAGGCCUUAGUAUACUGUAUACAUAGCAGGAGAGAUGUAAAAAUACAUCAAAACACUCAACAAUUGUAUGUACAAGUGCACUUUUGGGGUAUAAAUGGUGCCGGAUGAGAAUCACAUUGUCUUUCUCCAUUGUACCUAUUUUGGCAAUCGUCUCUACAUUGAUUAUCGCCGUUGCAUGGCCAAGUUUACACGCAAAGUUUAGGUUCUUCCGCUCGUACCCUGUUUUCAUCUGUUUUCAUGCACAAUAUAUUAGCUAUUAGGCAUGCCUUGUGAAAAUUUUCAUUAUAAUUACGUACUUAAAACUACUUAAUGAAACCAUAUCACAAAGUUUUUUAACAAGAAAAAUGAAAAAAGAGAUUUAUCAGUAGAGACUAGGAGACCGAGAGCAAGCAAUAAGCAAACUAUAGUAAGCUUCAUCAUCUUUUGAAAAUAUCAACAGAGUUUUUUUAUAGAGUUCUAAAAAAACUUUUGAGAAACUCUUCUAGUUACUUUGAUUGGAUAUCUAUCAUAGAACAAGGAGAUGUAUUUAUAGGGGAUAAUAUGAUUCAUACAUUAAGUUACUGUGUUCUAAAACAAGAAUGUAAAUCUAGGAACGAGAAUAAUUUGAAUAACUAUUAUGAUUUCUUAGUUUUGGUAAGUAAAUCAAGAACUGGUAUGACAUCACGUAAUUAAGUAAAUUCUAUUUACUUACCAAAACUAAGAAACUAUGAUAACUAUUUUAUUCAAAUUAUUCAUAUUCCUAGCUAUAUUUACAGUCUUGUUUUAGAAGAUAGUGAAUUAAUGUUUGAGUCAUAUCAUCCCCUAUAGAUACAUCUCCUUAUCCUGUAAUUGAUAUUCAAGCAAAAUAGUUUCUUAAAAACCUUUCAAAACUCGAUAAACAACUCUAUUAACAUUUUCAAAAGAUGGCAAAGUUCAUUGUUGUUUGCUUGUUGCUUGCCCGCAUUCUCCUAGUCUCAGCUGAUAUAUCUCUUUCUUCAUUUUUCUUGUUAAAAAAAUUUAUGAUAUUGUUUCAUUAAGUAGUUUUAAGUACGUAAUUAUAAUGAAAUUUUUUCACAAGACGAGUCUAAUAGCUAAUAUAUUGUGCAUGCAAAUAAAUGAAAACAUGGUGCUCACAGAAGAACCAAAGCGUAAACCUAAACAUUGCGUGCAAACUUGGCCAUGCAACGGCAAUGAUCAAUGUAGAGAUGAUUGCCAAAAUAGGUGCAAUGGAGACGAAUAUGAUGUAUAUCUUGCAUGAGAAAUAUGUUCAUGCAUGAAUUGGAAUCUCCAUUUAUUUAUUUAAUUUAUUUAAGGCCUUAGUAUACUAAGGCUUUAAAUAAAUUAAAUAAGACAGUAGAGACAAUGGUACCAUGCUUCAAAAAUAUUUCUAACAAAAGAUAUAUACAUAAUUGAUCGUUAAUAUAAACUCUCAGUUAUGUAUGGCAUGCAACAUCAUUUAAUUACUUGUAUCUAGCUAUUCAAUUGCAUAGCCGAAUGAUCAACAAGGCAGAAUCAAGCUCUUGUGGGAUUCUUGUGACAAAACAUUAUGCUUUUUCCUUUUAAGAAGAUCAAAAAACAUAGAAUACUUAGUAUAACCUGUGGAUUGUUAGUUUCUAAUUUCAUUGCAUUAAACCAUCUGUUAUUACAGCAACACCUACUUCGUGUAGUCUAGUCCUGCAAUGAAGUUACUCUCGAAUUUAAAUUAGCUUCAGUCAUUAAAAUCUACACACAUGAACUAAAUGAAAAUUGAAAAGAAGAGAUAAGAAAACAAAUUGUUUAUGAGCGAAUACAAAUGUAUAACUGUAUAAUAGUAUAUAGGAAACUCAUUAACCUCAUAAGAAAUAAAACUAGCUGAUUAGUUAUUGAUUCGACAUUUUAUUGCAGUAGAAAGUCGAUGUGUAUCAGUCAAUUGACUUUGUUAAAUAAGUAUUAUUUAUAAAUCAUAAUAUUCAUAAAUUCAAUUUAGGAUAUGUAACAUGUUCUCAUCUCGAUUGACAUCAUAGGUUUAUAACUAAAAGAGGCUAAGCACUAGAGAGAACAACUAAUCUCAUAUCAAAAUUUGUCGACCACUUAAUUAAAUAGUAAUUAAAUAAUUUCCAAAUGUAUUUUCUAGAAUAUUAAGAAAUAAACAUUGAAUAACACGUGCAUAUGUGGCUGAGAACAAAUAUGAGUAAAUGUGGUAGAAGGGUUAAACAGUUUGUGAAAAAAGCCACAUGUAUUGUUGAUUAAAGAGACUAUAUAAUAAAUAGGAGGUGAUGAGCUGUGUUCAUCAGUUGAAUUAAAUCAAAAUCAUGGCGGUGUCCAAUAAGUUGGCAUUGUAUGGCUACUGAUCUUAGCAAUUCCUGCAUUAUUACUUGAGGCGUAAAACUAAUAAAAAAAAGUUUAUGCCUUAAUUAAAAUAAAAUUUAUUCUCAAAAUAUCUUUUGAAGAAGACAGUCGUUCCAUGUUUUUCAAAGCAUAUUGAACUUAAAAGUUAAUGAUGGGUGUUAUUUAACAAAUUAGCCAAUGAAAAUUUCCUAAUAGUUUUGUAACAUAACAUUUAUUUUAUUUUGAAUAUAACGUGAUGUUUAUUUAAAAUAAAAGUAACUUUUUAAUUUAUAAAUUAAUUUUGAUAACAAUCCAAUAGGAUUUAGACCCGAAUUAGCUUUUAAGCUAUAGCCACUAUGACGAAAAAAUUAUAACUAUAAAAUAAAAGUUGAUAGCAUGUGGGAAGUAUAAAAGUUGAUAGCAUGUGGAGUAGCCAAUAUGUAUAUAUUUUGAUUUCAUCUAACGUGACUAAAUAAACUCAAUAUGUAUAUAUAUAUAUGUAUUUACCAGUUCUCAUGAUGAUUACAUCACUGAAGAUAUCUUUUAUGGUAACACUUCACUUCUUGUGGCUAAUUCUUGGUCUAUAAAGAAUCAUGUCCAACUCCUCUUUAGAAUCUUUCUCUCAAACUCCAUUCAAUUUUAGUACGGAUACAUGUCUUCUUAUCUAUAUUUGGUUUCAUCUAACGUGAUUAAAUAUAUUCAUAAAUAAUGAUUUUGCUAAAAAAUCUAUAGAGUCUCCUGUGUAUUUAUACAUGAAAUCCACAAAUCUAUAAAAUAAGAAUUUUCAAAAUAAUUCAAUAUUCAACCAACUUCAUUGAUUAACCUCCUCAAUUAAAAUACCACACAUCAUAGUAAAUAAUAUACAUAAAGGGGUAAUGGGCUUGGCUUUAUUAAUACUACUUUAGGUUUUUUAAUUUGACCCCUCAAAUUUUCUCACUAACCCCUAUUUUUUAAUUUAUCUUAUUAUUUUUCAAAACUGCUCUUAUUUAAAAUAAAAAAUAUUAUUUUUUAUCUUCUUUUAUUCUCCCUCCCCCCACCCCACCCCUUCUCUCCAAAAAAGAACCAUUACCAUACCACCUAUCUUCAUCAAUAACAAGUUCAUCAUUAUCUAUCUUCUCCACUAUCAAGCCGUCAAUGGAUUCACUAGUAGAAAAAAAGGCUUCACUUAUACUAGCCUACUGACACUAUAUUAAAAGUAUCAGCAUUUGAUGACCUAAGCUAUUUUUAGUGGUUUUAACAAAUAAGUGUAAGCGGGUAUUGACACUAUAGUAUCAUAACCCUUCAUUGAUACUUAGAAGUGUAAUUUUAGUUUUAGUUUUAUUUUUUUAUUUCCCUUAUUAUUAAACGACAUCGGCUUUUUGUCUUAAAAUUUGUUCACUAUAAAUUGACUACUUAACGAAAAAUUUUGUGUUUCAUCUUUCCUCCCUCGCGACGUUUGUUCCCUCAUCUCUUACCAGAUCUUUUCCUCUCUUCAUCAAAACCAAACCCUAAUUAAACCAAAUAAAUUAAUCACUCUCUCUAUUAUGCUAGAGUAAAUGAAACAAAAAUAGGCACUAGAGAUUAAAGAUGAAAGACAAGAAUAUCUAAAAAAAUCCUAACAUAUUAAAGAUUGAGAAGAAUAUUGUAAUAGAAGAUCAAAUAUCAAAGUUGUUGAGGUAAUCAUCGUAAUUUUUUAAUUUCCUUUUCAGAUUCGUAUAUUAAACUUUGAACUUCAAUUUUUCCAGUGUUGUCCUGGCUUGAAGAAAAGAAAUUUUCAAUUGAAAAUAAACUAUCUGAACACUUCAAAAAAUUUGGUCAUUCCCUUUAAUUUAUUUUUCGCCAAAAAUUCCCUUUCUGUCGUUCUUUCUCUCAUAGUCGAAACCAAAACUCAAAUCCCCAACNNNNNNNNNNNNNNNNNNNNNNNNNNNNNNNNNNNNNNNNNNNNNNNNNNNNNNNNNNNNNNNNNNNNNNNNNNNNNNNNNNNNNNNNNNNNNNNNNNNNNNNNNNNNNNNNNNNNNNNNNNNNNNNNNNNNNNNNNNNNNNNNNNNNNNNNNNNNNNNNNNNNNNNNNNNNNNNNNNNNNNNNNNNNNNNNNNNNNNNNNNNNNNNNNNNNNNNNNNNNNNNNNNNNNNNNNNNNNNNNNNNNNNNNNNNNNNNNNNNNNNNNNNNNNNNNNNNNNNNNNNNNNNNNNNNNNNNNNNNNNNNNNNNNNNNNNNNNNNNNNNNNNNNNNGCCGGUUAGUAAUUUUUUUAAAAAAUAAUUAUAUGUAAUAUAUGUUUUGAUUCGCAUAUCGUAAACACGAUGUUAUUGUCUACUAACUGAUUAUAGCCUUCGAUUUAUAUUCACUUAAAUAGGAUAUGAUUAUGUUUUUUUUUUUUUUUUGCUAUUUGUUGAUUGUGUUAUUUAUAGUGUUGUUAUUGGUGGUUUAUAUGGUGAACAAUGCAGUAUUUUAAUUGAAACAAUUAAAGAUAUGGGGAAUUAUUAGGCAGAAAGUGGUUGCUAGAGGAAGUUUUCCUAUUGUAGUAUGCCUAUAUAGUAUUCAUUUUGCCUUUUUUUUUUUACUGCUGACUGUUGUUUUUUGUAAAUGCAUUUCUAAUCCAGAGACUUCGCCCCGUGGUAUCCACUUUGAGAAAAUACUCAUCUACAGCUAAACAAGUAAUUGUGUCUUUUAUAACCCAUUACUUGCAAUGCACUGAUUUUGGCUGUAUGAUGCUUGUAUUCUAUCUAUAUGUAUAGGCUUGCCUUCUAUAUAAGUAUUUUACUUUUUCUAAGUUUAUAAUAGUUUUUUCUUUUGAGAGAGUUAAUGAUAUGAGAAAUUACAAAUUUAAUAUUUAUUCAAGGUUGCAAUUUCAUGUUUAGGGCAUAUGUAUUACUUUCGUCUUAUAUGGUGGGUGAUUCUUGUCUUAAAAGUAAAUUCUAGUGCUUGAUUUUAAUAUAGUCCUAAAAUAAUUUAUGAGGUUUUUUGUGAACAUUGACGUUGUGAAACCUCAAAACAUAAAAUGCAGUAGAAUGUUCAUGUGCGCUUUGUUAAACAUGAUGUGCAACUCAUCUGAGAUUGUAAUCUAAUUAGUCAUAUGAUCUUGUGUUGAUGAGUUUAGCCCAUAAGUCUCAUAACCAUGAAAGUAAUUAAUGUCAAUUAUAAUAGAAGGACCUCUUUGUAAUCAACUUCAACCAUUGGCUAAUUAUGGAAUUCAUUGUGCUAGUGUUCAAUUUCACCAUUUACUUCUGAUCAUUAAAAAAAUUUCUUCACCUGCUUUUUCUUGCUUACAAUAAACAAAAAGGAUGAAAUGGCUUUUAUCUUGUUAUAAUUUUUGCAGCUCAAGUUUUGAACUUUUAUUUAUUUUGGUUGAUAGUUAGUAUUGAUUUGUGUUUGUGAUUGCUUUCUUUGUAGGGAAAGUUGGCAUCUGUUGAAGAGCUAGAACCAUUCGUCAAUCAUGCAUCUCAAAUGGCCGUACUUGACUACAUUGUAUAUGUUGAAAGUGAUGUGUUUAUUCCAUCAUACUCAAGAAACAUGGCAAGUGCAGUUGUAGGUCAUCUGAUGUUGAGGUAACUAACAUAACCACUUAAAUUUCGAAUGAGUUCUUUUUAUUCUUUUUUUGGAUUCCAUCUAUAGCUAUGAUUUGAGUAUGUAUCAAAGCCAUUAUGCUGAGUAUUGGAUAAUCAAGAAAAUAUAUUUGUAUAAUCUGGGCUGCCUUGUUUAUUGAAGACAUUUUUGUUUUUAGGCCAUGGUAGAAUGAGAUAACAAUAUCCUAUAAAGUCUUAAUUCUUUGCUUUUGUAUAUUUUAUCUGAUUGAACAAGACCUAAUAAGAUCAAACACAAAAAGAAAUAUUUUUGAAAAAUUGACCUUUGGUGAAUCUUCUUUAAAAAUUAUACUUAAUGUCGAUUAAGAAUAAAUAAUCUAAUGGACAGAAUAAAUUCAUAUAUUAUUCCAUGUUUGUGGUGUCUUAACAAAAUGCUUGUUGUCAAGCAUUGACUUUAAUGUGAAUGAUUCUAUGACUAUGCUUUAUGCUUAAAGUUGUUCUUUACUUUAGCAUCAAGAUUAGCUAAUGGAAUUUCGAUGUUGCACUAAUUAUUUAAAUCAUGUUCUAAAUUAUUUACAGUACAUCAAAAUUAAUAAGAAUUUUUAAGUUCAAUAGAAUUCUUUUCCGGCAAAAGAAAAAGAAAAAAAAGAAAGAAUUAAAUGAAGUACAAGUAUUGAUUCUUGUUGGCUGAAGUAAUAAUAUCACUAUGUUUAAAUUAUUUUUUCUUUUUUCUUUGGUUAUGCACAUAUAAUUUGAUAGCUGAUGAGUUCUUAGUCGAGCUAGCUAAAUAGGUUGCUUUUGUUGCUAGUCACAAUGAUGAAUCCAAACCCAUUUUGUUAGAUUUCACUCUCUUUUAAGAUUUUUUUUUUGAGAAAACCUUUUAGUUUUUAGUUAACAUAACAUUUUUUUUCUUUAAUAGGUUUUCAGGAUUGAGCAAGAUUACAGAAAUAAAUACAAGAUUGUAGUUGGUGAUGGUUGAUUCUUCGAGUAGUUUUUAUUGUAAACUCUUUAGUUUUUUGAGUUUGACACAAUGUUUUGGCUUUUAUUUUUCAAUGUUAAUGUAGUUCUACACAAUGUAAUGAGUUUUCAAAUUAUUCAAUGAGUAUUUUAAUUCAAGGACCAAUUGUCAAUUUCUGUUUCUGUUUUUUUAAUUUUUUUGAAUAAACAUUAUCACUAUGGUAUCGUUAUCUUUGUAAUACCCUUGUAUCAAUAUUUGUUUGAUACCAUAGUAUUGUUAUAUCUGUGAUGUCCUAGAAUCAAAAUUGUUUUGAUACUAUAGUGACAUAAAAUCACUGAUACUAUUUUCUAGUGUCACUGUGACACUGGCGUGGGCAAUGCUGACACUAAAACUCAGUGUCAGCGAAACAUAUAACUGACACUAAAAUAGUAUCAACGAAGGCCAUUUUUCUGGUAGUGAUUACCCCCACCAACAUAUGAUAAAUUUCAAUAUUAGGUUUUGUAAAAUUUGAUGAACAUCCAGUGGGGUUUAUUGUUAUUAAUUAUAUUGGUUUUGAUUUUUUGUGAUAACCUAAAAUUUUAUUUAAUUUCAAUUUGGAUAUGAUUAAAUGUUGAUAUUUGUUGAGAGUUUGAAAGAGGAUCUAGAAAUGAAAAAUAUCAAUCGAAAAUUGGAGACUGAUGAAAUAAAUUAAAGGAGUAAAAUAUCACCUCUCAUGUACAUACGUGAGUUGGGGUAUUAGAAUAUGAGCUCCUAAAUUGUCUUGGAUGAUAGUCAUGAGCGAUCCCAAAUGACUAGCUCGUAUUAAUUGUGCAUGCAAGUUGCAACUCUAAUUAAUUAGUUUAAUUCUGAGAGAAACAAUGCAAAAAUGAAAAAAUAUCUUAAGGCUAUGUUAUUAUUUUCAUUUAUUAUUUAACAAUAAACAUUGCACUUAGUAUAUAUUACAUUAUUAAUACCAAAGCCUUAUUAUUUCUUGCCAAAUUAUUAAUCAAGUAAUUAAUUAAGCAUGCAUGCUGCCACCAUCUCACAUGGAGCUUGACCUUCUUGACUUCUAAGGGGUCGGGGAUGGUCGCAGCUGCCACUGUCGAAUUCUAUGCUAGUUUUCAGCCACCUCUUUCAAUCUUUGAUAACCAUCGGCAUCGAGCCCGAUGCUACGCUCAGCGUUAAAGUGAGUUGUAAUGCAAGAAUUGCUAAGAUCGGUAGCCAUAUAAUGCGAAUUUAUUGGACACAGCCAUGAUUUGAUUUAAUUCAACUGCUGAACACAACUCGUCAACCCCUAUUUAUAUAUCCUUUUUAACCAAGAGUACAUGUGGCUUCUCAUAAGGACUGUUUAACCAGUUACCACAUAUGCUCAUUUAUCUAUUUGUUCUCUGCCACACAUUCAUUCAUGUGUUAUUCAAUACUUACCUCACAAGCUUCUAGAAAGUACAUUUGCAAAUUAUGGAACUAUUAUUUAGUUGAGUGGUAGAAGCUUUUUUAUAUGUGAGAGGAUUUCUCUCUCUCUCUCUCUAGCUGACUGCCUCUUUUAGUUAUAAAACUUAUAAUGUCGAUCGUGAUUAGAGUAUAUUAUAUAUCUUAAAUUAAAUUUAUGAGUAUUAUGAAGUAUAAAAACUACUUUUUUAAUAAAGUUGAUUGAAUGAUACGCGUUGAUUUUCUAUCACGUACGAUAAAUUGACCAAACAAUAAUUGAUUUGGUAGAUGCUUCAACGGCUAAUAUUUUCCUCUUCAAAACUAAAAUUUCAUUUCUCAUUGAUGUUAAUGAGUUUCCGAUAUAUUGUUACACGAUUAUACAUUUAUAUUUGCUUUUCUUGUCUCAGCUUUGAAUUUUCAUUUAGUUCAUGUAUAUGGAUUUUGAAGAAUGAAGCUAAUUUAAAAUUAAGAGCAACUUCAUUGCAGGGCUAGACCAUAGAAGUAUGUGUUUGUUGCAAUAACAGAUGGUUUAAUGCUUAUGAAAUUAGAACAGACAUUCCACAAAGUAUUCUAUAUUUUGUCAUCAUAUUAAGAGAAAAAAGCAAUAAUAUUCUGUCACAAGACUGCCACAGAAGCUUUGAUUGUUCUGCCUUUUUGAUCAUCCAGCUAUGCAGUUGAAUAGCUAAGUACAAGUGCUUAAAUAAUUAAAUGAUGUUGCAUGCUAUAGACAACUGAAAGUUUAUAUAAAAGAUCAAUGAUAUAUAUCUCUCUGGCGAGAAAUAUUUUUUAAGCAUAUAUAGGACGGCUGUCUCCAUUAUUUAUUUCAUUUACUUAAGGCCUUAGUAUACAUAGAUCAAAAUGCUCAACAGUUGUAGGUACAAGUGCACUCUUGGGGGUAAAUAUAGUGUCCGAUGAAAAUCACGAUGCCCUUCUCUAUUGUACCUAUUUUGGCAGUCGUCUCUGCAUUUAUCAUCCCCGUUGCAUGGCCAAGUUUGCACACAACAUUUAGGUUUACGCUUUGGUUUUGCCGCACGCACCAUGCUUUUAUCUUAUGUACAUGCACAAUAUAUUAGCUAUUAAACACGUCUUUUGAAAAUUUUCACUUUAAUUAUAUACUUAAAAACUAAUUAAUGAAAAUGUAUCAUUUUUAAAAUGAAUAAAGAGAUAUACCAGCUGAGACUAGGAGAAUGAGAGCAAGCAACAAGCAAACAGCAGUGAACUUUGUCGUCUUUUGAAAAUAUUAAUAGAAUUUUUUUUAUAGAGCUCUAAAAUAUUUUUGAAUGUAUAUAUUAAGAGUAGUGAUAUAACCACAAACUCUUGUACAAAUUUAUUUUGUACAAACUGAUGUGGCAUAAUAAGAUUGGUUGAAUUAAAUAUCACUUGGGCCACAUGAUUUAUUUUUAUUAUUUUAUAUUUUCAUUCAACCAAUGAAUUAAUGUCACGUCAGUUUGUACAAAAUAAAUUUGUACAAGAGUUUGUGGUUGUAUAAUUACUCAUAUAUUAAUAGAUUUGAAUGAAUAUCUAUCAUAGAACAAGGAGAUGCAUUUAUAGGGGAUGAUAGGAUUCGGACACUAAUUUACCAUCUUCUAAAGCAAGAUUGUAAAUCUAGGAUUGGGAGUAAUNNNNNNNNNNNNNNNNNNNNNNNNNNNNNNNNNNNNNNNNNNNNNNNNNNNNNNNNNNNNNNNNNNNNNNNNNNNNNNNNNNNNNNNNNNNNNNNNNNNNNNNNNNNNNNNNNNNNNNNNNNNNNNNNNNNNNNNNNNNNNNNNNNNNNNNNNNNNNNNNNNNNNNNNNNNNNNNNNNNNNNNNNNNNNNNNNNNNNNNNNNNNNNNNNNNNNNNNNNNNNNNNNNNNNNNNNNNNNNNNNNNNNNNNNNNNNNNNNNNNNNNNNNNNNNNNNNNNNNNNNNNNNNNNNNNNNNNNNNNNNNNNNNNNNNNNNNNNNNNNNNNNNNNNNNNNNNNNNNNNNNNNNNNNNNNNNNNNNNNNNNNNNNNNNNNNNNNNNNNNNNNNNNNNNNNNNNNNNNNNNNNNNNNNNNNNNNNNNNNNNNNNNNNNNNNNNNNNNNNNNNNNNNNNNNNNNNNNNNNNNNNNNNNNNNNNNNNNNNNNNNNNNNNNNNNNNNNNNNNNNNNNNNNNNNNNNNNNNNNNNNNNNNNNNNNNNNNNNNNNNNNNNNNNNNNNNNNNNNNNNNNNNNNNNNNNNNNNNNNNNNNNNNNNNNNNNNNNNNNNNNNNNNNNNNNNNNNNNNNNNNNNNNNNNNNNNNNNNNNNNNNNNNNNNNNNNNNNNNNNNNNNNNNNNNNNNNNNNNNNNNNNNNNNNNNNNNNNNNNNNNNNNNNNNNNNNNNNNNNNNNNNNNNNNNNNNNNNNNNNNNNNNNNNNNNNNNNNNNNNNNNNNNNNNNNNNNNNNNNNNNNNNNNNNNNNNNNNNNNNNNNNNNNNNNNNNNNNNNNNNNNNNNNNNNNNNNNNNNNNNNNNNNNNNNNNNNNNNNNNNNNNNNNNNNNNNNNNNNNNNNNNNNNNNNNNNNNNNNNNNNNNNNNNNNNNNNNNNNNNNNNNNNNNNNNNNNNNNNNNNNNNNNNNNNNNNNNNNNNNNNNNNNNNNNNNNNNNNNNNNNNNNNNNNNNNNNNNNNNNNNNNNNNNNNNNNNNNNNNNNNNNNNNNNNNNNNNNNNNNNNNNNNNNNNNNNNNNNNNNNNNNNNNNNNNNNNNNNNNNNNNNNNNNNNNNNNNNNNNNNNNNNNNNNNNNNNNNNNNNNNNNNNNNNNNNNNNNNNNNNNNNNACAUAGAGCAAAAAGUUUCUGGACAAAAUCAGAAUUUUAAUUAUUAGGAGUUUUUUGUAUUAAUAACUCACGUAUUCAUUGAAAUUCAAAUUUAGGACCUAAGCCCCAAGAAAGCUGCUCCAUACCACUAGAGCUAGACCUUGGCUUCAAGUCAUUAGGAAUUUUACAUUCAUUACUUUGUUACAUUAUCAUUAUUAAUAAUGCUAUCCGAUAGGAUAUAUUCUGUAUUUACCAUAUACUAAAAAUAGUAAAUUAAAAAUUCAGAUACAUAAAAUUUAAUGUGCUCUAUAUUUCCAAAAUUUAUCACUCAUAAUUAUUAAUGAGACAACUCUCUUUAAUUAUACUCAUACCUAACCUUUUGAUUUACUAACCAAAAUUAAGAAACUACGAUAACGCCAAUUCAUUAAAAUGUUCCCAUUCCAAGAUUAUUUGCCCUUCGGUUUUAGAAGAAAAUGAAUCAAUGCUUGAAUUAUAUCGUCAAGCUACAUAUAUGAGUGCAUGCUCUUGAGCAAUAGUAACAAAUCAAUCAAAAUCAGUUUCCUCAUCAAAAGACCCAUUGAAGAACAUAUAAAUGGCAAAGUUGAUCGCUUUUUGCUUCUUUCCUGCACUCAUUCUCCUUGCACCUGGUGUACCUUUCGUUAAUUUUUUUUUUUAAAAAAAAAAAACCUUUACAAAAUGGGUUCAAAACUAAUUUCAAGUAUACAAAUGAAAAUUUUCACAAGAUGCAUCAUGCAUGGCUAAUAGCUAACAUAUAUGUUGUGUUCAUGAAAACAGAUGAAAUUAAGCGUGAGGCAUGUUGCAGAAGCAAAGGAUAUAAUUAAAAUUUGCGAAAAAAUUUGGCCCUGCAAAGGGGAUAUUCAGUGCAGAGACGACUGCCAAAAAUUGUACUAGGGAGACGGGUGGUGUGAUUUUCAUAAGGUGCCAUAAUUCCUCAAAAUUGCAAUUGUACAUAUAAUUGUUGAUUUCAAAUUUCUCUGGCUAUAUGUACUUGAGUCUUGAAAUUAAUUUAAAGAAAAAAAAGUUCAUACCCUGAACAAUAUGAUACAUAUUAAAGAAAGAUGCACAUUAACGAUACUUCAACCACUAAAACACUAUUAAAGACCUAAUUAAGUGGUUUUCAAACAAUUUUAUUUGAUUGAUUAUAACUCGAGUUUGAAUUUUGAGAGAAGUAAGAGGUUUAAAAAUUAGUUUGGACUUUAUCCAAACUUUAUAAUAAUUAAAAGAAGACCUAAUCACUUGAGGAUUCUCAGCAGCAACACCAAAAAUGAUUCUCUUCAAGCCCCUUUUUCUUUUCAAAACAUGGAAGGAGUGUCGUCCCAAAAUAAUAAGGAUCUCAUUUAAAUGAAUUCACAUAUAAUCAUUUUUCCAAAAGCUUAGUCGUUCUAUGCUUUUCAAAUUCAGCAGUAUGCCCCCUAAAUAGUCUUACAUGUAUCGUCAUGAGCGUUCACAGACGACUAGCUAGUAUUAAUUGCGCAUGCACGUUGCAACUUCUUAGUAUAAUUUUGAGAGAGACAGUGCAAAAAGACAGAAAUAUCUUAAGGCUAUAUUAUUCUUUCUGCUAAUUUUUAAUAAUAAACGUUAAUCACUUAAUAUUAGAUAUCAAUACCAAAGCCAUGCUAUUGCUUGCUAGAUUAUUAAACAAGUAAUUAUUAUUAAGCAUGCAUGGUACCACCAUCACACAUGGAGCUUGACCUUGCUGAUUUUCAAGGGGACAGGGGCGGUGGCCGCCGCCGCAACUGCCGAAUUUUAUGCUGGUUUUGAAUCGACUCCUUCAACCGUUUGUAAUCGACCCAGCCGAUCUUGUGCUCAGCUUUAAGAGUAACUAGUAAUGCAAGAAUUGCUAAGAUCAUUAGCCAUAUUGCGAACUUAUUGUACAACGCCAUGAUUUUGAUUUAAUUUAACUGAACACAACUCAUUAACUCCUACUUAUAGUCAUUUUAACCAACAUUACAUGUGAUUUUUUUCACCAAACUGUUUAACCGUUCUACCACAUCCACUCAUUUGUCCAUUCGUUCUCAUCCACGAGUGUUGUUCGAUAUUCAUCUCACAUGCAUCUAGAAUGUACAUUAAUACUUAACAUAAUUGUAAUAAAAUUACUAAUUGCUCUUUAGUUAAAUGGAAGAUAAUUAUUCUUGAGUUUAAGGGUUGGAGUCUUCGAACGUAUGUACGAGAGAGAGUAUUUGUCUCUGGCUCUCUUUUUUAACUAUAAUCCACCCCUAGUCCUUCAUCUCCUCCAAUUAAAAUUUUCUUUCUCAUAACACCAAUGAGUUUUCGAUCCACUGUUACACGAAUAUGCAUUUGUAUUAAUUCCCUCAUAAACAAUUUGCUUUCUUGUCUUUUCUCUAGAAUUUUUCAUUUAUUUCUUGUAUAUGGAGUUUGAAGAGUGAAGCUGACUAAAUUACUACUAGUAAUAUGCCAAAUUUUUUUAAAAAAUUACUUUCUGUUGGUACUCAAAUACUUUUCCUUAAUUGAACGAGGAUAAUUUUGACUUUAUGUAAUUUUUGCGAGAAUAUAAACAAACUUAUAUUUAACCAUAAAAUUAAUUCUCAAAUUUAUUUUUAGAAAAUAUUUACUCAAUAGUUGCAUGUUUUUCAAAACAUAUACGUCGAACUGGAAUAUUAAUUAUGGAUAUUAAUUAACAAAAAGUUCCUAAUAAUUUUGUAAUAUAACAUUUAUAUUUAAGGCAAAAUAACAAGAGUAAGUUUAUUUUAAUAUUGAAGCAUAAAUUGUGCUUUUAUUAUAAUUUGAAUUUUGAAGCCUCAAGCCCACAUAGCCGGGGAAAUUGGAGAUCAACAUAAGUAUGUACAAGUGCAGUUUUGAGGAAUGUAUGGCACUUUAUGGAAAUCACACCAUCCAUCUCCAUCGUACAAUCUUUGGCAGUCGUCUCUGCACUGGAUAUCUGUUUUGCAGGGCCAAAUUUUUUCGCAAAUUUUAGCGUCGUCGCGUUUUGCUUCCGCUGCUUCAUGCAUCAUGUUUUCUUCAAGUGAAAAUUUUCAUGUAUUUUGUUAUAUACUUGAAACUAAAUUUGAACCCAUUUUUAUAAAGGUUUUUUUUAAUAAAAAAAAAAAAAGAGAAAAUAGAGAAAGACUAACCUGCAGAUCCAAGGAGAAUGAGUGCAAGGAAGAAGCUAAUAGCGAUCAUCAACUUUGCCAUCCUUUGAAAGAUUAAUUAACUUGUUUAUCAAAAGGGCUUUUGGGAAACUGGCUUUUGAUUGAUUUGUUAUUGCGUGAGAAUAUGUACUUAUAUAUAUAACAAGAUAUAAUUUAAGCAUUAAUUCAAUUUCACCUAAAACAGUAAGGCAGUAAUGGUAUGGGAAUAUUUUGAAAGAACUAGUUGUCGUGUUCCUUAAUUUGGUUUUGGAUAUUAUCAUUUUACCAUUAAAAUUAUUCUGACAUAUCAUAUCCGUACUACAGUUUGGUGAACAUAGCAUUUUAGCACCAAACGUUUGCGCUGUUAUCAAUUUACCACUAUUCCGUUAGAAAAACGUUAAUUUUUAACAGGAAAUUAGUUAAAAGUUGAUUUUACCCCCAAGAGAAUAAAAGAUAAUUUUACACUUUGAAAAGAAAGAAAUAAUGAACAAAAAUAAGAUUUAGAAAACAACUAAAAAUUGUAAUUAAUAAAAAAUAAUGAAUAAUAUGUAGAAUUACGAUAAACGGCAAAGAACAAUUAAUAAAAAUUUAUGUUUCAAAAUUAAUAUUAUAACCUAUGAAAUUCAAGUUUAAUCACAACUAAAAAUAAUAACAAUUUAUAAUAACAAUAACAAUUAAUAAGAUUUAGAAAACAAUUGAAAUUUCUAAUUAAUAAAAAUAAUGAAGAAUAUGCAAAAUUAUGACAAAUAACAAAAAAAUAAAUAAAUUCUGCUUCAAAAUUAAUAUUAUAAUCUAUGAAAUUCAAGUAUUAAUCACAACUAAAAACAAUAACAAUUUAAUUAAAGGAAAAAAAUUAAUGAGAGAGAGGAGCCAAUUUUAGGGUUAUCAAUUUCUUAAUUCUCUAAUUAUUUCUCUUGAAUUUUUUUUACUUUGUUUUAUUGUUUAUUUUACACUUGCAAUAGAGUUUUUGGCUUCAAUAGGAAAUGUCUUUGAUACCCUUAUGACAUCAGCAAAACAUCAGCAAUUUUUUUACUUUUUUAACGGAAUGGUGGUAAAUUGAUAACAGCUCAAACGUUUGGUGCUAAAAUACCAUGUUCACCAAACCGUGAUACUGACAUGAUAUGUCAGAAUAACUUUAGUGGUAAAAUGAUAAUAUCUCAUUUGGUUAAUUGGUAAGUAAAAAGUUAAGUAUGAGUAUGAUUCGAGUUGUCGUAAUAAAUUAGUUUUGGAUAGGGUAUGCCAACUUGAAAAGAUAAGCGAAUGUUUCAGAGCUGAGUUGUAGUGUCUAUUUGGGGGAAAAAAAAAGACCAUGUUUCGCUAUUUGAGAUAACUCACUAUGGACCAGGGGUGAUGGAGAUUCACAAUGCACUCUCCUUAUUCAAGCUGUUUACGUGGCUAAACACUGAUUCAAUUGGAUCACCAAAACACUGAUUCAAUUGGAUCACCAAUUGACUCGUAAAUGGUCUUGCAUGUGUUGGCAUUAGAUGAUUUCAUAAUCUCCUUUAAUUUUUCAAAAGGGUAGAAAUUGACGCAAAUAAACUUUUUAGUCCCUAUCUAUUUGACUGUUCAGACUAGGGUGAUCAACCACAGUGGUGGACCUGCAGCAAGGCUAGACCGGGCUGUAGCCCGGUCAAACUUAGGAAAAAAUCAUUUAUACCCUUAUUUUACUAUCAAUUAUAGCAUAUAAUAGAGAUUUUAUUUUUUUUUCAUGUAUGUCCCUAAUAUAAUUAUCCUUGUAUUUUCAUUAAUUUUAUACUAUAAUAGAGUUUUUAUUUUAUUUUUAAAUAUGUCCUUAAUUCAAUUAUAUUUUUUUCCAAUUGAAAUUAGUGACUUAUUUUAUAAAAUGAGUAAAUUAUAUAUUUACUAUAUAGAUAAAAAACAUUAGGGGGUAAAAUGUUAUUACUUUAAUUUAUUUUUAAAAAAAAAUUAAUUGAAAAAAAGUAUGUCAAUCUAAUAUAAAAUUGUCACUAGUAUUAAACUACUUAAAAAAACAUGUAGUAACAAUUAUCAACAUUUUCAUAAACUUUUUAUGUAAAUUUUGAGAUUUUAUUUAUUAGUUAUAUUAACUAAGAUAAAAUUUGAAUAUUUUGAGGAGCUUUAAUUUGAUAGAAAAAGCAUCAACAAUUGAUUCUUUAAAGAGAGUCGGAGCGUUUGGCAAAGAAACAACAACACACAAAUAUAUUUUUGUUAGGUUGAAUUUAGUUUAUAAUUGAAACUUUUGACUAAUAAUAUUUUUAUAAUUUAAAAAGAGGAAUAAAUUUGAAUUGUUUAAUUUAUUGAAACCUGGUAAUUAAGUACUUGACUUCAAACAUUAAAGUUUUACUUCAAUUUUUAAUUGAUUGUAAUUACAUGUGUUCAUUUAUUUCAGCUUAAAAUCCUUAAUUAAUAUAUUAAUCCUUGUAUAAUUACAUUUUAUUAGAGUCAGAUUUAAUAAUUGUAAAAUAGUGCUUUAUUUUUUUAAUUGCUUUUGUUUUCUACUCUUUUUAUAUAACUAUUUUUGUUUAUAACUUAUAGCGAUAAGAUUUUUCGUGCCCCCCUUAUUUGAUGCAAUUUUUUCUACUUAUAAAUUUUUAUGCUUACUUUAAAAUAUAAAUUUUUUAAUUUAGCCUGGGGUAAUACAAAUUCUUGGGUCCGCCCCUGAUCAACCAAAUAAAUCUGUUUAAAAAUCACUCGAUCAAACACUCCUCAGGCAAUCAUUAACAACAGUCUUUCAUAUAUCUCCUAUGACAGUAGGCAUAAAGCUAACCCACACACUGUGUGAGUGUUGUUUCCAUUAUAUUCUCAAUUGAUUUUGAAAUUGCACGAUGUCCUGUUAUUAUCUUUAGGAGAAAUGAUACCGAUCACUCGAUCUUUUCAAUCAAUCUAUUAGUUGUAUAUUACCUGCCAGUAAAAAAAUAAAUAAAUCAAUACAUAAAAUACAGGAUUUGAAGCAAGCAUGCAAUAGAUGAUGGUUUCAUUGAUAAGAUUUUCAACUUGGAAACCAACUUUCAAAUGUAAAUUUCAAUAAAUGAAUUAAACCAUUUUGGACUUCCUGAGAACACUACUAAUGAAUUUGCAAAUAAACUCUUCUACUUCCUAAGAACACCAAUAAUGGAAUUUGGAGAAAGUUUGGAAAUGUGGGUUCUUAUCGUCUUGUUCUCAAGCUUGCCUGCACCAAAAAUCUUCAAUCUCAUUUAAUUUUAGCAUCUUCUGAUGAAAGUCCUUGUCUGGUGGUUCUUAUUUAGUUGUUCAAAUACUUCAUCUGGUGGUAAUAUAACCGUUUCUACGAAAAUAGAGCGUUUGACUGACGAUUGAUGCUAUAAAAUUUGAAAUAACAAAUGCAGUAACUGUAUUGCAUUUGUUACAUGCAGAACUUGCCACAUCAAUUCCCUCUCGGUUGAAAUUCUUAGGAUCAACCAAUGGUUUCUCUAAAUCCUCAGGCAUGAUUCAACGUUGAAAAUCUCAACCCGGCAUGAUUUUAAAAUCAAAAGCUUCUUGUGAGCAUUAUGCUUGAGUGCCAAUGGUAGCAUUAGGUGUUGGAAUUUUUUAUAAAAAUAAAAUAGUAUCUUAUUGUAAAGACAUGUCUAAAUAAAAGGUGUCUUAUUAUAAAGACAUGUCGAAUUAAUUGUCCCUUGUAGAAAAUGUAUUUUUUCAUUUAAAAAUAUAACUUUUCGUGGUGACAUUUCACUUGGAGAUGCAUCAUUUCAUGGUGACAUUUCAUUUGAAAUGGUGAUGGUUCAAUUUGGACCAUUGAUUAAAAUUAAAUCUUGAUCUAAUAGUCAUGAAUGAAGGAGUAUCAUGAAAAAUGACAACCCAAAUGAAGGAACACAAGUAUGUCUAUAAAUAGAGAUCAUGUUUAAGUCAUUUAGACAUGAAAAUAAUAAUCUCACGCCACUCUUUUCUCAACCUGCUUUUCUAAAACGAAUUUAAUCAUAAAACACUUAUUUUUGUACAUUAAAUGUGCAAUAUAUUGUUUUCUGCAAGAAUUUCUUUUGUUUCAAGACAAGCUUGCAACAUUCAAGAUUUUUUGAUUUGCUUUCGUCGAUGCACCCACACAACAAACAAAUAAGUGUUUGAUUGUAUCUUGGAGGCGUAUUUACUUAACCAAUGUGCAUCACUUAAUUGGUGGGGGCAAAUAACGUCUUAAGGAAAAUGACAUUUGUAACGUGUCUUGAAGUACACAUUAUUUUUCUACGGUUUAUCUAUUACCAUUAUUUUCUUCCUAAUACUGAGUUGUAAACACAUUAUUUUACACAAUAAAAUUUCACCAUUAUUAUCGUAGUUCUCUACAUUUACCAUUCAUAGUACAUACCACCAACAUUAGGCCUGAAUGGCAUGAUUUAAAAUCAAUAGUUUAUUAUUAUUUCCAAGGCAGCUGCUAAGUUACUUUAACUGGAACUAACAGCUCCUAAAUUCUUUGAGUGGCAACAAUUUGGAGAUACCAAAAAAUUAUCUUUUGGGUUGUUGUCGUGUUGCAUGUCACAAUACACCUAUGCUACGCAUUGCGUACCCAUUUAUUUAAUAAUUUAAGAUUAUUAUUUAUUUAGGAAAAAUGGUAAUAACAUAUCUAUAUUUUGAUAAAAUGAUUAUGGGAACUCUCUUAUUUUAGAAAUGAUCAUUAAAAAAAAAAAAUUGUGUGUCCCAGAAAAAUAUGUGAUCAUUUUCUUAAAUAUAAGAGAAUCUCCGUGACUAUUAGGGUUUCUUUGUUCUGUUAACAUUUAUUUAUGUUGAAUUAAUUCACUCCACUAUUAGUGUAGCAAAAAUUGAUUAUUCAACAUCUUAUUACUUUUAUUGCAAGAGGCUAAACCCAACUUGAUUUUCUCUUAUUUAGAUUAAUAAGUGUAGUACAUGGAUGUAUGGUUACCUAGCACUUGUAGGCACAAAAGCAUUGCAUUAGGAACGGCAAGUCCAGUGUACAAAUCACAAAGUCCCUUUUUCCGUUGUAACGAUUUUUACAGUCUUCCCAGCAAGGUUGUUCGCCUUUGCAGUUCCACGCCUUGUGGCAAUCUUUUGCUUCUGCCAUCGGCACCCACUUUUCAUCUAUAAGAUUUAAGAACGCCGUUAAAGCAGUGUAAAUGAUAAGAUAAUCAAGAGAGAGUCUUUCAUAGAAUAACAUAUUAUUUUAUGAUCUGAUGUACAGGAAAUCAAACCAAAAAAAAAAAAAAAGUCUCUUAAGGAGAAAUUUUAUUGAUUGAAAGAGGGUGACAAAACAACCAUUGGCAAAGACUGGGAUAACUAAAAUAACCCAAGAUUACACAAGUCAUAUCCUCUUGGGAGAUUAGGAUUUUUUCCCACAAUAAAGUAAUGGAAACCAAAAUAAAGAAAAGGCCGUUAAAAGUUUCUUCUAAAAGAUAAAAAUCACCAGAGUUUUUCUAAAACAAAAUUGAGUCCAGAAGUGAAUUUUAUUUAUCUUGAUGCAGGCUUGAAAACAACACAUCAUGCUAGAUGCAAGCUUUGAAACAACACCUCAUAGGCAUGCACAUUCAUAUAUCUAAGAUGGAAAGUUUAGCCUCUGAAAAUAAGAUUCAGAAUUAUUUUACCAGCAGUGAAGAGAAAGAGGACAAGAAAGAAGGAUAUGACAUAACUGAGGUCUCGCUCUGUUUAUAGCGAGUAACAGUAACUAUUAUUAUUUAUUUGAAAAGAAGAGAAUUUGUAAGUCUAUGUCAUUGUACUGACGCAAGAGUGUUCACCUCAUUCUCUUUAACACCGGCCAUAAUUGAGCAGAUAAUAAAAAUAUAUUCAGUUGGAGACUAAGAAAAAUGUGUAUCACACUAACGUGGUCAAGAGUUAGAAAAAUGUGUACCCCGCUAGCCUAUCUGAUCAAGUGUGUUAGAUUUGGAAAUUUUUAAACAAUCUUGUAAAGAAAUCUUGGGUGUAUAUGUUUGCAAAAUUUUUAAAAAGUUGGAGUAUAAAUUCAAAAAAUCACAUGAAAAAUAUUUAUGUUUCUUAAAAAUGAUUACCAUUUUCAAAUAAUAACUGUUUCAUGGGUUCCAGCUAGUUUAGCUAGUAAAAUCUCUUCAAUGGAAACGAAAUGCCUCAGGGUUUGAACCUUGCUCACAUGGGUGGGGAGGGAAUUAAGUUGCCAUUAGGCUAUAACUUAAUUGAAAAAAAAUAAGAACUGUUUCCACUUCAUACCUGAAGUGCAUGGCUGCGGGUGUGAAGUCAACAAUGGUAUGCACAAAAGAACUGUUCCAUUUAGGUUGCAUAAAUUUUUUAGUCUUCAAUCUUCAACCUGGCAGGUCCAAAACCAUAAGCACCACUUGUUCAUCUGUUUGUCAAGCACAAUACUAAUUAGCUGUUAGCCAAUGCAGAGAAUUUUCUUGAUAAUUACACCAAAAUAAUAGAAGCAAUGAUAGAAAAUUAUACCAGAUAAAGGUUGAAAAGGUAUAAACAGUACAAAGCUUUGCGGUCUUUGAACUCUCAAGAGGGUUCUAAGCUGUUUACAGUUUUAAAAGGGUCUUCAAAGCAUCUUAGAUGAUUGCCAUUAACACUAACAGAACUGCACACUCAGCAUUAAUUGUCAUUAUGUGGGCUUUUUUAUUGCUGGGUUACCAGUACUCCAAGCAGGAACAAGAACCAUCUUCAAAAUGGUGAUAAUGUUUUCGAUCUCGAAUAGAUAUUUUCCUUUUGAAAACUUUCGAAACAAGCUUCAUGGCUGAAUGGCAAUCACUGCAGAUUCGAAUAUUCUUCACAAUCCUUAUUACAGAUCCAGGCUUGGUACAGAUUAAACCAAAAGCUAAUGCUAAUUUCUCACUAUGAUAUCCAAUCACAGUUUCCUUUUCCUCCUCUUCAAUGUCAAACAUAACUGAUCUUGUCUCUACAUUAUAGCCAUAAUUCUUUAUCUUUUUGACAAUUUCUUCCCAGAACUGGUAGAUCUCCUGUGUUUUUUCAUGGGAUCUAUCUCCUGCCAAGAAUUCAUGAACAACACCAUCCAAUUCAAUCAAGCUACAUCCAGGGGCCCGUUUUAUUUUUCUUUUUCUCAUAGUUUUCCUGACUUCUUCAGCAUUUUCUCCUUUCAGUGUUUCCACAUAAAUGUUCGAUAAUAAAAUAUAACGACCAUCAUGGUUUUGAUCAGAUUCUAUCAGCAUAUUCCCAAUUCUUUGACCCAUCUCAGCAUUUCUGUGUACCCUGCAAGCACCAAGGAGGGUACCCCAGAUGACAUUAUCAGGUUUCAUUGGCAUUGAAGCAAUGAAAUUUUCUGCCUCCUCCAACAAACCAGCACGGCCAAGAAGAUCAACCAUGCAAGCAUAGUGAUCCAACUCAGGUUUAAUUCCAUGAACAUCAAACAUUGAAUGAAAAUAGUAAAAUCCCUUCUCAACCCACCCCAAGUGACUGCAUGCAGAUAAAACUGCUAUGUAAGAGAUACUAUCAGGUGAGAUACCCUUACUUUUCAUGUUCUCAAAAAGCUGAAAUGCUUCAAUACUGUGUCCAUUCAUUGCCAGGCCAAAAAUUGCACUUGUAUAAGCUGAAACAUCCUUGUCCCCAUAUGAAUGAAACACCUGCAUUGCUAAAUCAAUGCUUCCACAUUUUGCAUACAUGUCUAUUAGAGCUGCACAUAGUAUUGAAUCUAAUUUUAUACAUUUCUUUUGAAUAUAAGAGUAAACCCAAUUCCCAUAAUCCAAAGCUCCUAAUUGUGCACACGCAGAAAGCAAACUCACCAAAAUAGCAGAGUUUGGUUCCAAAUCCAAUGAUUGCAUCUCUCUAAACAAAGCCAAAGCUUCCUUUGGCCGCCCAUUCUGAGCAAAACCCGAAAUCAACACGACCCAAGAAACCAAACUUCUCUUCGGCAUCUGAUUAAACACCCUACAAGCAUCAUCUACAGAACCAAACCUAACCAAGCCACCAAGAAUACUAUUCCAAGAAACAUCGUUCCGUUGAGGCAUUUUGUCAAACAGCUUAAGCCCUUCCAAAAUCUCACCAUUCCUCACAUGCCCAUUUAUCAUCGAAUUCCAAGACACAACAUCAAGAUCAUCACUCUCAUCAAAUACCCAUCUCGCAUCCCUCACUCUCCCGCAAACCGAGUAAAACUGUAUCAGAGAAUUUUUCACAAACACGUCAUACGCAAAUGAAUUUUUAACCACCAUCCCAUGCAACUGUGUGCCCAAAUCAAAAUGAGCACAACUAGCACAACCCUGAAACAAAAACGUAAACGUAAAGUUAUUUGGAGCUACAUUCAAGUCAAUCAAUCUGUAGAACAAGUGUAGUGACGUGGAGAGAUAGUGCGAGCGGGAAAGGCGGGAGAGGCCCCGAAUGACUGUGUUGAAGAGGAAGAUUUGAGCGGGUGUUGAGGAUUGAAAGAGGAGAAGAAGAGCGUAGUUUAUGUCACCAUGUGGAUUGAGAGACGCGAAUGAGAUGAUGGGUCUGAAUGAUUUUGGCGGGUGAUUUAGGGCUCUUAUUAUGAGCUGAGUGUGGGUUUGUUUGAAUUGUUGAAUGGCUUUGCAUUUGUAAAGUAGUGAUGUAAAUGCAAUGCUAGGGGGUACUGCCGCUGCUGCUGGCAUAGUGUGAGGAGUACUUGUGUCUUGUGUUUUCUUGCAUUGAGUAUCUUUACCUAUACCCUACGUUACCAAAUCAUGGAGUUGAGACAUUAACAUGACAGAGAGUAGGGUAUUAGAUCAUUUUAAACAGUCAUUUUGCAUUGCCACAAUAUCAGGUUAAAAUAUCGGAUGGUAUCUCACGCAGCUUUUAUAGCAGUAGAUAAUCAGAUUUUAUUGACUUCUGCUAAUUUUCUAACUAUUUGAUGAUGGUGAUGCCCAAACUGUGGGUUAUGGUGCCGCCCACAGCUCACGUGAGUCCAUACAUAACAUUUUUGCUAAGUUACAUUUAGUGUAACUAUUGCAACACGUAGGCUAAAUGGGAACCAACACUAAAGUAUGUGAUGAGAGAGACGUUAAGAACACUUUAAUUGAUUGUUUCCCUAUUAACUUCUAAUAUAAAAGAGAUUAUAUUAGAUGUGAAUGGACAUAUAUACUUAUUACGUGUCAAUAUAGUGAAUAGUGAAUACAAAUGUAAAUUAAAUUAUCUAGAAACAGAAGGUUAGUACAAUAUGAAUAGGGUUAUUAUCUUUUUACUAUUAUCAACAACACUUUCAAGGAGUGAUAUUUGUCGCAUUUAUAACAAAAAAAAUAUGAUUAAAAUGUUCAAAUAAAACCCCCCAUUGAAGGGAAAGAAAGGACAAAAUUGCAUAAAUUGUAAUCCCAAAUUGGACUUAUGCAUUCUAUUAUCGAUUUAUUUCAUCAAAAUCUAAUCAACAGCUUAAUGUAUAAAUACAAGCAGAAAUUGGAUUAAGCAACAAAUCUUUUGACCAUCUCCUCUCUCCUUAAAUGAAAAUAAAGAUUCCUUUGUGCAUGCAAACUCAUCCAUGAAGCAAAAGUAGGCAAAACACCCCCAUGCCAUCUCAUUUGAGACUGCACAUUUGUUUUGCCAUCUCAAAGCAUCUCUCAAAUUCAAGGCUGUUGUAGGGUUUCUUUUGUACUUUAUCUUCCUAAAUGUCAAUCUUUUCCACAACACCUACAUAGCAAAGAACGUGAACCAUAAGCUAAACAAAGAACAUAACAUUACUGUACAUAGCCAAGCAGUCAGACACCUAGACCUGGAAAAAGCAUGAACAAGAUAUAAGAUAUAAGAGAUCCCCAACCUAUCUGGUAGGAAUGGCCAAGGAUUAACAGAAUUAAGCAAUUUGAAUAUCAGAAUACGAUAAUCCAGCUAAAUAUUCAUAUGUUAUUUGUAUUAAAAAGCACCACAAUGAUGAUGACAUUUUGAAGCAAAAAGGACAAGAACAUCACUGAAAUCUUGACAAGGAUUUAUUGGAAAGCAGCAUAUAGCAUACAAAUUUAUGUAUCUCUAUAGGCAGUAAUAAAAACCAACGGUGAAUUAUAAUCUCAGUAGCCUAGGAAACAGCUUUUGUCUACAGAAUACAGGUGUGUUGCUCAAAAAUUGAAGCUGUAAAAUUACCGUUUGUAUCUCUUCUUGGAACCGCAAGGACAGAGGGCAUUUCUACUGAUCUGACCACUCUUAGCCAAAUUGGACCUGGCAAGAUCCAGUGGUGAUGAUCCCAUCAGCUUUUGAAUCUACAACAUUGAAAUCAUGGCUAAUGAUAUAUUCCCAAUAUUCUAUUCUCACAGAAAAUUUCAUUUAAAAUAACAAUAAAACGCCCCAGGACACUUGGAACACAUACAUGCCCAGAAAAAAACAUAUUUUUGAUGUAAACCUCCCAAGAACUAGUUAAUUCACAUUAGACAUUUUAGGUCAUUUUAAUCAUCCACAUAAAUCUAUCUUCAAAAACCCAUUUCAAAGAACCAAUAUUAGCAUUACAAGCGAUCACAAUGACUUGCAAGAUGUAUUACCUCAGCCAUGCUCUUCGGCAUUGGUUUUCCUUCCUCCUUUAACUUCUCUAUUUUCUUUUGUGCUUCUUUGGCCCAUGUAAACUUUGCAAGGGUAUUCUCGACUUCCGCUAUUGUGCAAUUGCAUUGCUUUGCGGCUUCUUGUUUUUGACUGACUUGGAGAUUCUACAAUCAGAAAAUCUAAAACCUUAAUCAGGACACAUACCCAGAUGCAAUAAAUGAAUGUGCGCAUAUCACAUGAUAAAAGAAAGAUCUACAAUGCAAGUAUUGAUACGAGAAUGUCAUAUUUUUGUAACAUGAACAUGAGGAACUCAUAAUACAGAUCAUCAAACUUGUAGCCUUGAACCAUACAAAAUUUACCCACAAAAACUGCAUGUAUGCACACAAAAAACCAACCUCUCCGUUAGGAUCAAAAGCACCAAGACAGCGAAGAACUGCCUCUUGUUUCUCAAAAGUAUCAGCAAAAGUUGUUGCACUGCUUCUACCAACUAUGUAUUGCUUUAAUGUACCCAACUUUCUUGCUUUCUUUAACUCAUCAGCAAACCCUGCAACAAUCAUUAAAAAAUAUACUAUAAGAAUAUCAAAAAUUGUCCAUUUUCUAGUACCAUUUAGAUAACUUUCAUAGAAUGCACUUUUGCCUUGGAAGCUUUCAGAAAAAUGCACUCAUCAGGUGCUUCUCCAAAGGCAUUAACUAGUACAUCUCUCAUUCAGAAGCCAUCUUAGAAUAAUACCUAUCAAGUUUUCCACCAAGAAUACUUUAAAUGCCAUAUAAUAGUCACGAAAUAGUUUGUCUUUCAGAAACACCUAUAGCAGUGUCAAAAGCACCAAUUAAGCACUUCAAAGAACUCUAAUGUCUAAAUGCUCUUCUAUCCUUAAGGAACUCUAAAGUCUAAAUGCUCUUCUAUCCCUAAAAUCAAUUUCGGCUAUUUCAUCCAAACAACCGUGCAAUAGUCACAAAAACGCUGUAUAGUAUUCAGAUUUAGCAGUGAUAAAAAGGCCUCACUCCUCAAAAGCACUUCUAGUGCACUUCUUAUUCAAAAAAGCAUUUUUACAAAAACACGUCUAACGUUUUUCACCAGAUACACCCUUGUCCAACUAUUAAAGGCUUCCGUUAACAUUGAAUCGAAAGAGAGAGAGAGAGAGAUUUAUACUGACGGGAACUUACGAAGGAGAGUGAAUGAUUCAGAGCUGACGCUGCCGUCCUCUGAUGAUGAUUUUUUUCCGGUGAAGACUCCUUUGAUCGAGUCCAUCCAUGAGCCUUGCAGUGUCCUCGUCGUAAAAAUCGAGCGGUACUGUGAUAAUGUUAGGUGAUGAUUAUGAUAAAUGCUGGUCAAUAUCCGUAAAGAACGCAUUUUUUGGGGAUGGGUAUGCAGACGGAGCUGAUUUUGAGGUUCUCAUAGGGUUUUGAUGGCUUUGAAAUUGCGAAAUUGAACGGUAAUUCCGACAUUGCUUUAAAUAAUAUAGAAUUGAAGCGAAGUCACAUUCAAGUCAGGAUGGCCGAGUGGUCUAAGGCGCCAGACUCAAGUUCUGGUCCUCGAAAGAGGGCGUGGGUUCAAAUCCCACUUCUGACAGGUCAUGUUUUUAGGUUUUUCCUAAUUUGAUUUCGAACAUAACAUAACCUAGAAAAGCAUAACUGAAAAUUAACCUAGAAAUGUAUUGAGCAUAACUGAAAAUUAAUACCAGAUAGAGACGAUAUUUACUUCUAUUCAUAUUCGACAAAAGGUCUACUUUUAUUUCAUAUUUUAUAGAAAAUUAGAGCAUAUUAGUUCUAUCGAGACUCAAAAUUAUUGAUGACUUGGGCCCAUUUUUGGGCUUUUUCCAUUUUCAUUCUAAUAAAUACAAUGCAACCAAGGCAAUCAAACCCAAAUGCACUAUCAAUUUCUAAUGGUUCAUUCUUGAAACACGUUCAAGCAUCUGCAAGACCAAGAGCACAGUCGUUCCUAUGAUUAAAGUUUCUUGUGAGAAAAGAAUUUCUACUAUGCCAACAAUUACAUCAUCAUUUGACAGUCACAAAUAACAUUGAGUUCACUGUAAUCAACCUUACAAUUCAGUACAGAAUACUAAAAUAUUCAAGUUGUAGGUGAUCAUUUCCAAUAAUAAAUUACAAAGAAUGUCUUCCUGCCCAGCACAAACUGAUGAUCCAUUGAGGCAAAAAUCUGUGGAAUCAUCAACUCUUCCUCACACAUCUGUCGACAAAUCCUAACUUCCAAAAAAAUCAAGGAAGCAGAAGCAACUCAACAGGCACAUAGAGGCUAUGCAUAUGCUGUAACUUCAUCUCUUGCUUCUGAGUUGCAAAGAAUUAUAACCAAAAAGCCCAUGCUAAAGACAUCUUAGGCUCCAGACCGCCUGAACUCAAACCAGAUCUCAUAGUGAUUGAAAAGCAAGCUAUCAUGCGUUUUCUUUCCAAUAUACUCGAGCCCCAAGCUUGUGAGCCUCUUCGUACACUCCUCUCCCCCCAAUCGUGAGCAAAACUUUAUGUUAUGCGACACAAAGAUACGUCCAUCAUAAGGUCUCAACUUACUUGCCAACCUCUCCAGUCCAACCCAGACAAGUUUGUCUGGCAUAUGAAGAAAAACAGCACUAGCAUAUAUCAAAUCAUACACAACUCCUGAACCAAACUUAGUAAAAUCCAUAUCUUCGCCUCGUACAAUGAUAGGGCGCUUGUGUAGAAGACCUUGGGAGGGAAGUUCAUAUCUGAAUGCAGCCAUCAAAGAGAGUUCAUCUCGCUCCAGGCAAUGAAAGUUUUCAGGGUUGAGAUACCGAAUGAAAUGCACGCCAACACGGAGUGUACCACAUCCGAUCUCAAGGACAUGCGAGUUGGGUGUUAUGUGGCUGGCCUCAGCAAGGAACUCAAACACAUCUCGGCCACCAGCCCAAGGCUCCCCAUAAUUGCUGUGAUGCUCCUCAACAAGAAGCUCACCGGGGCAUGGAAGGGCUGUAUGGUUGUUUGCUUCCAGUCCUUCAUAGUGUGAUAUGCCUUUGAAUCUGACACAAUUCCAGAAAUUUGAUCACAAUCAUGACAAAACCACCCUCUUUUUUAAUAAAACAUGUCAAAGUAACUCAUGAAGUGCACACACCAAAAAAGAACUCACAAACAUGCAAAUGGCAGAUUUCUCACAUUGUGAUCUCAUGUUUGAAAGUGCUGCACACAGCAAAAAGCCAAAUGCCACGAGAUUAUCAUAAGGAAACCUCACCUAGAAUUUUAGUUGACAUUAGUUAUGAAGCACACUUCAGUCAAUAUAUGUUACUGUAAAAAUCUAUAUACAGAGUGUAAAGUGAAAAAAAGAAACAUUUCAGCAACCCGUUUUACACGGUGUCCAAUCCCAGAAAUCACAAAAGAUAAAUAAUCUGAUUCACAUAUUCCACUUUUUCCUACUACCCUUAGAAACAAGCUUCCUAAGCACCCAUACCAGGCAUCGCGAAUGGGAAACCAGUUUCCAGAAAAUAAAAUGGCAGAUUUCUCACAUUGUGAUCUCAUGUUUGAAAGUUCUGCACACAGCAAAAAGCCAAAUGCCACGAGAUUAUCAUAAGGAAACCUCACCUAGAAUUUUAGUUGACAUUAGUUAUGAAGCACACUUCAGUCAAUAUAUGUUACUGUAAAAAUCUAUAUACAGAGUGUAAAGUGAAAGAAAGAAACAUUUCAGCAACCCGUUUUACACGGUGUCCAAUCCCAGAAAUCACAAAAGAUAAAUAAUCUGAUUCACAUAUUCCACUUUUUCCUACUACCCUUAGAAACAAGCUUCCUAAGCACCCAUACCAGGCAUCGCGAAUGGGAAACCAGUUUCCAGAAAAUAAAAUUAUCUUAAACUUGUUCCUUAUUCCUAGGACUCUUACUGAAAACUCUUUUCAAGAACUCCCCAGCAAAAAAUCCCAGAAUUUUAAAAACAAAGACACACUAUACAUGAAAAAAGCACAUUGAGCUUUAGAAAUAUUUUCCAUAUCAUCCCAUCAAAAGUGCAUGUUUAGCAAUUGACAAAGUGACUCGCUGAGACCCCAUUUGGAAUUGAAGUCUCAUGAGCUAUAGUAGAAUACAAUCACUAAAAUGUCAAGAAUGUAAAUGAAACAUCAGUUCUAACGUCUCAAAAUGUUCGUGCAAUUUUCCUACACUAAUUUCAAAAAGCUGUUUCUACUAGUGAAAUCAAAACAUGAAGGAAACUUAAGAGCGAGAGUAAGCAAAUGAAUGAGCUUACUGAAUGAGAUCUUGCAAUUGCUGAGCUCUAGUACGGGGAUUAAUCCCCUUCCUUAACACAUUGUCCUGCAUGUGAAGCCCGUUCUUGUGGAUCUGAUCCCUCACCCACUCAAUAUCCUCUUUCGUCGCCGAUGUUCUUUCGCUAAACGUUCUAGAAGAAGAAGAAGAAGAAUCAUCCUCGCUCCUUGCAAAGUCAGAAACGGCGCCGUUCCUGACAGCGUUGCCGGCGGCAGUGGUGGUGGAGGAGAGAGGACAAUUACACGUGGAGAGCGAGGAGAGGAGGAAGAAAAAGAAGAUCGCUGCGACUGAGAGCGAGAGAACGAGUACCGGUACGGUGAUUACUAUACCCUUUUGCUGCGUCGGUGAUGUUACCAGAGCCAUUCGAUUUCGUUUCGUUUGUUCGCUCGCAGAGUGCCGUGUGUGUGUGAAGAGGAAGAGUUGUCUUUACGGUUACUGGCCUGGCAAAAUGAUGGUGCUGGGUGGAUUUAGCUGUACGAGAUGGCCGACGUCGUUUCUCGCUUUGAUUAUUCGUUUUCUAAAGAAGACGGAUGUCGACAUGUCGUUGACGCCGAGAAUGUCGUUCUGAUGGAGAAGUAGUGGCCGCCUAGUGGGAGCAGGGGCAUAACUACAGUGCGGGUGAGUCCAAGGAAAUUACCAUAGGCGUCUCCAUGACUCCAUCCUUUUGAAUUGGAUUUGGAUCUUUAGCAUCCAAAAUAAAAAGCCAAGGCCCAACUUUGAAACAAGCAUUUGUGAUUUUACUAGUUUAGUCUCGUAGAGGUUGAUUUUUUUUUGCCAAAUAUUUGAAUGGUAUGGUAAAAUCUAACAUAUCUUGGGUCUAAAUAUUCAAAUAAAAAAUCCUAAUAAUUUUUUAUACUGUAAAUAUCAACAUAAUAAAAAGCAUAUGUAUUUAAUUUGUAAUGACUCUAAUCAGAGGAAUUGAAAUAUAACUUCCUUUUGCUUCAUCAUUACAAGCAUCAUUUGAACUACAACUUACACAAAUCAUGUUAAUGAAUAGUUAACACUCACAAUCAGACCUAGACAAACCAUUUUAUGCUGGGAACAUGUAAACGCACCAUAAAAUUUACAGAUCCCAGCAAAGCAAACCAUCACUCUUACUAUGUACGUUAUAUGACACAUGUCACCCUCUAUGAACUUGACCCGAUCAUAUCAAUAAACCAUGAACAAAAAAUCCCUCAUUGAAAGAAAAAAAGUGGUAGACAAAACAAAAUUAAUCUCACACAUUUCCCAUAUGCCACAAGUUAUCACUAGCAAAGUUCUUUUCUCUGUUAGACGAAAUCAGACAUCCUUCUCCUGUGACGAGAGAGUGUUACUUUCAAGUUUGGAUCUGAAUAUGUGACAACCUUGUUUCGUGGCAUGGAAGUUGUCUUUGAAUACAGGCCGACAUUGCCUUUAGGACUCUCUGUGACAGGAGUAUUGGUUUCACCGUAUCUUGGUUUUUUAUUCGAACAUCGUAUCAUUGCUUUGAAACGAAUAUCCAAGAAGCUAAGCGAUUGAGAACAUGAAAAUUGUGCUGAACUUCUAGACCCUGUUAUCAAACUCCUGGCCCUUAUGCUGAUCUCCUUCUCUGCUGCAUUUUUCCUUUGACGGCUAGCAACAGUAGAGGUCAUGAAACGAGGGACAGAGUUGCUAACACUUCUUUUAGUUACAUUUUUAGAUGCUUUUGGGGUUUCAGCUGCUUCCUUUAGAUUUUCUUUGGGACUUACAAAGCUCUUUUCCUCAUCCUCAAGGGACUGACAUGUGGCUGAGAACAACUUUUUCUUUUCACUUAGGAGGGACUCAACCUCCUUUAUUUGAUUCCUGACAUUCUGACAUUCAACUUCAGCUUCUCUCAUGUCCUCUUCGAGCUCUGCCAUUCUUAUCUCCCUUCGCUUCUUCAAGUCCUACAGUAGAGGAUGAAUAUCAGAAAGUAUUGCAAAUGUUUAAUCCAUGUCAUCCAGAAGAAGAAAUUCCAAAGAUUGAUACCUCUGAUAGCUCCCUCUUGGACUCUAUUCCCCUUGCUCGCUUGGCAAAACUCAAAGAACAAAUUGUCUCCCCAACAUCUUCUUCACAUGGGCUUGCAUGAACAAGCAUCAAAACCUUUGAACCAUCACCUAAAGCAAUUGGAAUGAGGGCCAUCAUGCAUUUUCAUAUAUUUGGUUUAAUUUUAUCACAGGAAAAAGAAUUAAUUCCAUAAUGUACAGUAGCCAUUAGUUUGUAAAUUACUCCUCACACUGCUAUGCAGAUACAAGUGGACAACAUCUAAUUUCUGGCAAUUUCUAAAACAUAACAAUAUUUCAUAAUAAAGUAGGAGUUCACAGCCAAAAGGAAAGGGGGAAAUUAAUUAAAAAAUAAUAACAAGCCAGAAGUACAAGAGCAAAGGUGUUACCGAGGGAAUCUCUGAGGAUCUGAGUUAGCUUGCUAUUUCUGCAACCCAAGAAAUAAAAUAUAAUCAGUAAGAAAGAAGCAACAGCUACUCAGAGCUAUCCUAACAGCAUUUAAAAACUUGGAAUCCAUGUCUUUUUCAGUUAAAGUAUAUGGGCCCACUCCUAGCUUAUCCAACAAAAGAAAAAGGAUAAUUAAAAGCUGAAAAUAGAAGCCAGCAAAGAACUUGCCUGUAAGGCACAUGGCCUCUCUUCCUUCUCAGAGCUGCAAUAACAUCAGCCAGUGCAGAAAGUGAGAGAUUUAUGGCCCUUCCCUCAUCUAGUGUUUGCCCAGUGGCUCCUGUUUUCAGUACCCGCUCGCUGCCUCCAAGAUCAACCAUCCAAAGUUUGCUUACUUCUGUUUUGGCUUCCAAGCCAUCCCCAUGUCGGAAAAUGGUGAUCCUCAUUAAGCUAGAUAUAUGAAACUAAACAGAUAAUGUAAUCAUCAAAACAAAUCAAUUCAUCAACAAAAUUCUAACCCAAACUCAACCAGAAACCCACCAGUGUGACCUGCUGGAUGCCUCAUUCACAUUAGUCCAUGAAGUUGAUCUAACCCGUCUCCCUUUAUUGUACCACCAUCGGGCCUUUGUAAAAUCUGGGAUUUGCACCUCUGUCAGGCCCUCGAUUUCCACUGUGCCCUUCGCAUCUGUUUGAAUGUUGAGAUUGCUGUAGUAGAGUGAGCAAAAUCACAAUAAGCAUAAUCGAGUGAAUGACCUUCAUUUUUAGUUCAAAGUUUUGGAACUGAUUCUGGGCAUUUGUAGAAACAUAAUUACCAUCUAGUCGCAGCAUCAUAUGCUUUAAAUACUGGUUUUGGAGCCAAUAGAUCCCUCACGCUACCCAAGUAAACCUCCAGCAUGCUCAUUGAAAAGCUUACAGAUGAUGAAUUGUCCAAAGUGGCUUGACGAAAAAGCUCUUCAAGAGCUCGAGGAACAAUUCCAGGCUGAUCACUAGUGCCAUCCUGAAACAUCAUCACACUCAAACAUUCAUGAAUGAAAAAAUCUGGGGAUUUUAACAAUAUGAAUUCGAGAAAAGCAACAAAUUUAAAUAUAGUCACUAACCAUUGUGAAUGUCUUGCCAGUGCCAGUUUGACCAUAAGCCAAAACACAAACAUUGUGCCCGUCAAGCGCAGAUCUAAGAAUUGGUUCAACCUCAACAAAAACAUCUUCUACAGAGUUUUCAACCAAAAUAAAGCCUCUUAGACAACUGGAAACAGAAAACAUAUUCAAUUAAACCUGGAAAUGAAGAAACACACGAAAUCAGAUGCUAACCUUGACUAGCUGCCUGAUUAAACACCUUAUCAAAUCCGAAUUCUUUCUUGCUUCCUCCUGAUCUAACCACAACCUUCUCCAACUCAGUAAGUACAGGUUCAUGAAUUACUCUUCUGCCUGUCACUAAAAAUGAUCUGACUCGACAAAAGACUCUAAUACAGCCUGCAAAUCAAAAUCAAUCCUUUAAUCAAAGGGCAAAGUAAAAAUAUAAAGUCCCUUCCUUAAAUCAAAAAUAAUAAACUACCUUUGAUGUCUAAUAUCUUAUUCAAUGCUUCUCGUCGUUUCUCAUCCAAUCUCCUCUUCUUCAACCUUAAUUCCACAAUUUCUCCUGCACAAAAAUGACACCAAUUUUUCACAAGAAGACAAUGAACACAUGUUGCUAUAAUUUUAUAAUUGAACACAUAUGACAAUUGACAUUUCCUAGGACUGAAACUUGAAAAAUCUUUUACCUUCAAGAUUGAUUAUUGACUGCUCAAGCUCAUUCUUUUGUUGCUCAGGAACAACAUUGACAUCGGUGCAAAUCAAAGGAAGCGGCGGUGAAUCAGGCAAAUCAGGAACCGGAGGCAACCCAUCACUGGAUUCAAGGGUUGAUUCCAUUGGAGAUGAUUUCAGUGGCUCUGGUCCUUUGUCAAGAACCAUUGAGAUCUGCUCAUUUUCAGUUGAAAUGAACAUACAGAGAAGCUAAUAAAAUUUUUGAAGUUUAAAAAAAAAAAUAACUUUUUUGAGCAAAAAUGCAAAUAUGCAACGUUGGUGGCUGAAAAUGAAUACUCCACCAAAAUUGGAAUGCGUUGUUAGCUAAGUUUGAUUGGUUUAACAGAACUCCAAAAAUAUACAAGAUUACAGAAACUAAUAAGUGCUGAGUUGGAUGUUCAUUGGUUUAAAUCAAUAACCACUACAUUUCUCAGCUAAGACUAAGAGAUGAAGUACAAAUGAAGCAAAAUCACCUCUUUGAAGAGUACACAAAAAAGCAGCAACUAGCAAGCGCUGGCUAAAUAUUCAAAAGCAAAAACCCAGAUCAUUAAACCAACCAAAAAAAAGAUAUUCAUUAAGAAAAGUUAAAAAUAAUAAGUCAAAAGCUGAGUGAAGAUUUUCAAAAACCCGACGAAAAUUUGGGAGUGGUGACAAUGAAAUGUUUCAAUGAUUGAACACUCUUUGCUCUCUGAUUAUUAGGGGGUGAAAAGUGCUUUUAUAACAGUAUAAUGUUCCAUACAUAUUGUGAAAAUACCCAUAAUGGAAUAUAUAUAUAUAUAGAAAUUCUCGUAUAAUGGUUGGUCCAGAUCUAAAGUUGCACUGUAAAGUUGGUAUUUUUUUAAGACAAGAGGAGCGUGAGGAGCGGAGGUGCAAACGUGGACUUAAAUAGUUUCAAAUAAGUGCUUUUAAUGGUGUAGGAUAAUUUUUAAUAUAUUUAUUUAUUUUAGAUUUUUGGAAUGCUUUGACUGAAAGUUAAUGGAACUUGGAUAGGAUCCUCUGCAGUCUAGCAGUAUGCAACAGAGAUUGGUGGGUGGUGAAAAAAUAAUAGGUUUUUUUGGUUGGUUUGUAAUAAAUAAAAGGUUACUUUUACGAUAAAAUUAAAUUUUUAAUAUCAUAUUACUAAUCUUUAAAUUACGUCAAAGCUAAGCAUGAUCAACAUUCAACAGUAUGGCUGGUAUAAUCCAAUUACUCAAUACAAACAUGACACAAAUUAAUGGGUAUGAGUCAUCAAACUUAACAUAAUUAUUAAAUGAGAUGGGUUCAGGUCGACAUAAUUUUUUUCGUAUUUGAUUAGAAUUAAAGUCCUUAACUCGUUUAUCUGGUUAAUAGCAUGAUUAUAUUUUUAUAUUCUAAAUGAAUUUAUAAAUUUCUUUUAUUAAAACUCAAAUAUUUGUAUGCAAUAAUGAACAUAAUAUAUGUCAAUUGAUUUCUCAUUGCUGAUCCUUAAUUUUACAACAUCAAAUGAGAUUAGUAAUUGAUUUUAAAGAUUUUUUUAAUAAAAUCUCCAAUAGAAUAGUAAAUUUUUGAUAAACGAAGUCUAAAAUAUUUUAACUUUUUUAAAAAUCGGUUAUUCUUUUAAUGUAUUUCAAUGAUAAUAUACAGAAAAAAAUAUCUUUUCAAUUUAUGUAUUUUAUAAAUUUAACUACGACACUUUAACAUAGUAUUGUGGCGAUGAAUAUUGUAAUUGAGUACUGUCACAUGAUCAAUUUUUUUUUUUUUAACUUUUUUACCAUUUCAAUGUGUUCAAGCGAAGGUGUGCUAAGGGAACCGCUACCAAACCUUUUCAUUUCAUCGCCAUCGGGUUCUUUUAGAUAUGUUUUUUUUUAAGUACAAAUAACGCAAUUUCACUGUAAUGCCAACGUGGCAAAAGCGCUUUGGAUAUUUAUUUAGCUUACGGUAGUCUCAUCGCAGAGGAUGAGAGCGCUUGAGCCUUUUUUUAACGGUGCCACAGAGAAACUGAAGUCUUGCCGUCGACGGUAAAAUUUGCAAUAAUGACCGGUGGAAACAGCCUUUUUAGGCCGUUGGAUUUAAAAAUUGCAAAACUAUGUAGCAUGGAUUUGCCAUAAAGUACAAAGUUGAUAACUAACUACAACUAGGAAGUUGGAACUUGGAACCUUCCUAAAGCAAUUUAGCAUCUUGCUUUUGUUGUACUUUCUCUCUUUUAAAAAAAAGAAUUAAGUUUUUCUCUUUAUAUUUAAUUUGAAGAAAUUGUGUCAAAAGAGAGGAUUUUGCUAUGUUACAUUGAAUGUACCAUACACAACUAAUAAGAACCACACAAUUAUAUGGGUCCCAUAAUUUAUGUGGUUCUUAUUAGUUGUGUAUGGUACAUUCAAUGUAAUAUAGAGGCUCCCCAAAAGAGAAUAUGAGAUAAAAAAGAGGUAAAAAUAUGGAAAACUCCUAUUGAGAUGUAAAACUAUCGGAGACAUGCAACAGCCGCCACACAAUGUUGGAUAUUAUUUGUGUUGGGCUUGGGGGUUGAGAUUUUGCUUUUAGAUCACACCACACCACUCAUAAGAUCUCGUAGCAUUUAAUAGGCUCAUCAUGUGUAGCCCACCAAUCAAUUCUAACCCGGGAAUGCGAGAUUCUGACGCCUCUCAUUCUACGAUGUAGCCAUCUAUCUCAUUCUUCGGAGCGCACAGAGUCUCAUGUGCGAUAGGCCCUUGGGGUCACACAACUGACUUGUUUGCAGUAGGCCCCAAGGGACACCACACUGGACAUCUGUGUCGACACUAGUGUGGACAAUUAAUUGACUAUGCUAAAAAAAAUAAAACACUUUUUUCCAUAAAUUUUUUUUGAAAAUAUUAUUUGAAUAGGGCAAGUUUAUAAAGAAAUUUUGAUAUUAUGGGUAAUUUGUAUUUAUAAUUUUCUUCGCAAUAAAUUAAGUUUCUAAAUUUGCCCCUAAUCACAUACACUGUAUGUGAUUAUCUAUUUCCUAAACUGUUGGCUCAUUAACUCCGACGUUGAUAUCAUUUGUACUAACUCACCUCACCAAAUACGAUAUUAUUUCCUUUAAAUUAGGCUCCGUAUACUUUUAGAUCAACUCAAAAAGUCUCGUAUACUAUUUGAGAAAUGACCCAGUAUAACCCAAUAAUUAUUUGUAACUCAAUAAUGUGUGAUUCAACAACCCUACCAUAAAGUGUUUGGUAAUAUUUAAUUUUAAAAUUCCUAUGAGGUUUAAAAGCAAGUAUAGGUGUUUGAUAAAUUUUACUAUUAAACUGCUGUAAGAAUAUAAAUGACUUAAUUGAAUAUAAUAUUAAAUAAAAUUUAUUUAAAUAUUUAUAAAUAUGUAUAUAAAAUAUUUUUCUGUAUAUGUAUAAUAAUUGAUAACUAAAAUAAAUAUAUUAUACUAUUAUUUUUUAUUUUGUUAUGUCAAUAUGUUUGGUAUAAUAAUAAUUUCUUUAAAGUUAGUGAUUUUUAUUUUCUAAUUGAUAAGGAGAAUUUAGGAUUUUUAUAAUAUAUAUGAGGAUAUAAUGGAGUUAUAUUAAUUGUAAAAGUGAUUUUUAAAAUUAAAUUUUGAAAAACUACUCAUUUUCUACUUUUCAAAAUCUACUCUAGGACGGAUGAUUUUAUCAAAAGUGAUUUUAGAAAAACUUAUUAAGCACUAAAUUAGUUUUUAACUUUUUAAAAUCACUUUUAACCCUCUCAAAAAUAAUCUCAAACUGAGUCUUAUAGUUAGCAUCUUUAGUUCAUAUUUUAUUCUUCUCUUCAUUCUUAUCCCAUCCGUUGACAUUUCUCUCAAAAAAAUUUGUUUCAAUAUGAAAAUUUCAUGAUAAUUAGUCAUUACUUGUUAGAGAUGAAAAUGAGAAUGAAAUUUGCAUCAAGUCCAUCACCCCCGAUGUUUAUCUUUGUGUUAUAAUAUGUGACAAUUAAAUACAAGAAAAUUCUGUGAUGUCAUUAUUAAAAUUGCAGCAUCAAUGUCAUGGUAAACAUAAAUUUUGUAAAAUACAUAUAAGACUAGUAAAUGAAAGGUAAAAUAAGUAAAUUAAUAUGAGAGUGGUAAAUAAGUGUUUUAAAAUUGUAAACAAAACAAACACUUAUAAAAAUAAUAUAAAAAAUAUAAAUCAAUAUUAAACUUUAAUUUAAAAAAUAUAUUACUUAUUUAAUUUAUUUGAGCAAAAAAAUUUCUCAUUAAUUAAAAAAAAGUUGUAUUGAAAACAAUUGAAAUAAGUUUUACUAAAUUAGUUUAAUCAUCAAUUCUAUAUUCAUGAUAGGACAUUCAUAAAAAAAAAUAAAAUCAUUUUCUGUUAUAGUAUUUGUUUACUUUACAAGAUAAUUAAGUGAAAUUAUUUUUCUUGAUGUGGAUCGAGCCAAAACAAAAUAAAAAUACAUUCAUAUAUUACUAGAUAUAUAUGAAAUAUCAAUAAAAUUGGAUCUAAUUUUUAGUUUUAUACAUAUUUCAUAUAGUUUCAAACUUUACUUCUUGCUUUGGGGUUGCUGUUGAGGAGGUUUAAAAGAAUGCAAAAUCAGUUAUCUUACAAACAAUUUUGAAAAAUAUAAAAAAAAAAGGUUUUCCAAAAUUUGAUUUUAAGAAUAAAUUUUAUCCUUAAUAAAAUUUCACAUAUAUUAUCACAUGUAUUAUAUAAACCCAAAAUUAUUAUUAUUAGUUUAGAAAUAAAAAAGUACAUAUAUAAGGUAAUCAUUAUUUUUAAUGAAUUUUAUUUUGUAUUUGUAAGUUUUUAAUUUUUUUCAAUUACUCUUACAAUGUUUACUUGUUUUACAUUUCAUUUAUAAAUCUUCUAUUUCAUUUUGUAUAAUCUGUAUGUUAUUUUACACUUAAUAUUGUUUUAAAAGUUUUAUGAUACUUUUGUAAAUUUAUGUUAUGUUUACUACUAAUACAUCAUUUUACCCACUCUUACGUUAAUUUACUUGUUUUACUUUCUAUUUACAGGUCUUAUAUUUAUUUACUUAAUUUACACUUAAUGUUGAUUUACAAGUUUUAUUUUAUAUCUUUAAAUUUAUGUUUUUUUUUGCCAAUAUUACAUCAUUUUACCACUCCAAUAUUAAUUUUAUUUACAUGAGUUAUUUUUAAUUUUCUUAAUUAUGUUUUGUUUUACACUUAAUGCUGAUUUAUAAGUUUUAUAUUAUAUUAAUAAGUUUUUGUUUUAUUUACCAAUGAUAUAUUAAUUUACCACUCCUAUGUUAAUUUACUUAUUUACCUUUCAUUUACAAAUCUUAUAUUCCAUUUGCAUCAUUUAUAUUUUAUUUUACACUGAAUGUUGAUCUACAAGUUUAAUAUUAUAUCUAUAAGUUUUUGUUUUAUUUACCAAUAAUACAUCAAUUUAGCACUCUUGUGUUGAUUGACUUGUUUUGCCUUCUAUUUAUAAGUAUUAUGUUUUAUUUACUUAAUUUACGGUUUUUUUUACACUUAAUAUUGAUUUACAAAUAUAAUUUAUGUUACGUCUAUAAGUUUUUGUUUUGCUUACCAGUAUUAUACUAAUUUAUCAUUCCUAUAUUAAUUAGCUUGUUUUAUCUUCCAUUUAUAAGUCUUAUGUUUUAUUUACUUAAUUAUGUUUUUUUACACUUAAUAUUGAUUUACAAAUUUUAUAUUACAUUUAUGAGUUUUUGUUUUGCUUACCAGUAUUACACUAAUUUACCAUUCCUAUAUUAAUUAUUAAUUAGCUUGUUUUAUCUUUCAUUUACAAGUUUUAUGUUUUAUUUACAUAAUUUAUAUUUUGUUUUGCAUUUAAUUUUGAUUUAGAAGUUUUAUGUUAAAUUUAUAUGUCUUAUAUUUCAUUCAUAUAAUUUAUAUUAAAUUACGGUAUUAAUGCGUGAUUUUAGUUAUAACAUUAUAGAUUGAUCCAUACAUAAAUACAAAUCAAAGGCAUCCUGAGUUUUCAAACUCAUUGCAUCAUGAUAUUUAAUUAUCCUAUCAAUUCAUAACAAAAUGGUCAUUGUUUGCGUGAACGAAACUAACUCCACGUUUGAUUUUUUUUGCUCCAGAAAAAAAAAAAGAAAAUUAGUUGUUAUAGAAAAUUCUCAUGUAUGAUUAUCUCAUUUAAUUAAACACAAAUAAGAUGACUACAAAUGAAGUUAGAGACGAAAUGACACAUCCUUUUCAGCCCAUUCUACAAAUUUGACAAGAUUGACAUCACUAACGUGAAUGAAAAUAACGCCGUAUUUGAAUUAUAUUUGCCCAAUUAAUGUGAUGAAUUAUGUUGUCUAGGCAAUUACUCAUGCAUAAAGCCAUUUUAUUAUUAUUAUUAUUAUUAUUAUCAUCAUCAAAGCAAUUGACUUUGUUGUGUUCAUGUCUUUCUCUUGAAUAAUGGACAAUAAAGUUACAUGCAUAUCAUACUGUCUUUUCAACAUGAGCUCACAAUUGCACGAUCACGAUGUAUGGAUGAAAUUAAUUUCUUCACCAUUCAUUAUUGUGUAUUUCGAAAGCACGUCUAUUUUAUGAUAAUUGCACUUUUUGCUUCUUCAAAAUUAAUUAAUUACAGGUUAAAAUAACAUUAUUGUAUUUAGGCCCGUAUUUGAUGGGACAAAAUUGAAAGGCUUGAUUCUAUUUUUUUUUUUUAAAUCACAUUUAUUUAACAUUUUGAAAACAAAAACUCUUUUGGAUCCAUCAAAUUCAAAGCAAAGGAUAAGAUCUUUUCUUUUUCUUACAAAUAAAAUUGUUACUAUAAGUUCAAAUCAAGCUUACUACUGGCCAUUGCCAUUUAAAAGACCCGUUAUGUUAUGUAUAGCGUCUCGAGUAACGAUAUAUGUACUACAAUGGGGAUAAAAAUGAGGACAAAAUAAAUAAAAUAGUAAUACGUGCACAUAAAGAGAAAAUUAAGAGUGUGUUUGGUAACGUUUUUAGUUUGUUAUUUUUUGUUUUGUGAGAAGGAAAAUCGAUGAAACUUGUUUGGUGGACUCAUUUUUUAGGAAAAUGCUACAUUUUAUAAGAAAUGAAUCAUUUCCAUCCUUUAAAAGUUUGUGAAGGAAAUUAGAAAACAUUAUAUUGGCAUUCUCAAAUUUUUGUUCUCCGCCAGAAGUCUCCCAAAUUUGACUUUAUAUUAUCAUUGCAAUAAAUUUCAUAGGUCCUCCAAUAAAGAUGUCUUAUUUACAUUAUUAUAAUAUAUGACAAGAAUAUGUAAUAUAAUUACAAAUUGAUUUAUAUCUUAAAUAUUAUUAUGUUAUAGAUAUAAUUUAUAUACACAAUAAAAAAUACAUUAUUAUUUUAAAAAAAUAAAAAAUAACUAUUUUUGGAGGAACAGUUAAAAAGUAAUAUACAAUACAUAUGGUUUUCUAACUAAAUAAAUUUUUUAAUGACAUAAUAUAUUUUUAUAUUUAUUAUAUUACAUUAUGAUAUUUUAUAGAUAGUUUUAUAUUUAUCUAGUAAAUUAAAAUCUGACCAUUUUGAAAAAUGAUACUUUAUAACAAUAACUCACAGAAAAUAUAAUGCAACUAAUAAGAAAAAAAAUAAGUAAUAAGUAAUUCUUUACUCUCUCUCACUGUUCUAAUUUUUUCAAACAAAAAAUAAAUAUAUUUUCACUGUUUUCAUUUUCAUAUUUCAGAUAAAUAACCAAACAUAUAUUUUUUUUCCAAUCAAAUAAUUAAUAGUGGAUUCGCAUCAUUCAUAAAUCAUAAUAGUUUUUUGACUGUUAAUAAAAUAACCGAAGCAAAUGUGUUUCAUAUUUCCUUUAGACCAUUUCACUCAAGUGCAACAAUACCACGCAAUAAUUCACUACUUUACGUGAAAUUUAUCCGCGACUCACCUUCAACGAUCAGCACUUUGACCAACUUCAACUUGAUUGCUUUUUUUUUUUUUUCAAAGCCAAUUUUAGUUGGAUGGUCCUUUUUUUUUUUUUUCUUUAAUAUCAACAGAAUUAGAUUGAAUAUUUUAUUUUUGUUACUAAAAAUCAAAAUGGGAUUACACACAACUUUAAUGGCUUUUUUUUUUCAUUUAAAUUUAAAAAAAAAGUGGUUUUCUUAAUAAGUUGUUAUUGUAGAGGAAUAUUAAUUACAUUGUAUAAAUAAAAAUGACAAGAAUCAAAGGGAUUUUGCUUUUGAGAACGGAGAAGGGAGAACUAUCAAAAGGUGAAUUCAAAUGCCACGAUGUGCUCGCAGGCUUCAGCAGAAGGAAAAGGUAAGGAACUGACAAGCACAACAACAACUGGUCCAACAAGCAACAUCGAAUGUAUCUUCAACGUGGCCUUAUUUUUUUACUUUUAGAAGAAUGUUCUCCCGCACGAAGUUUCGCCCUUUACGGCGGGCGCAACUUCACGCAGAGUCGAGUUUUUAUUGGGGGAGUGUACUACUCGUGAAGUCGCUCGCUGAACGUAUCCUCAACUUUUAAAUAGUUAAAAUUUUACAAUAAUAAUAAUUGACUAAUGCAAAUUUGGCCUUACUUUUUCAUGAUCCCAUAGAACUAAAAUUAUAAAGGUCACAUCACUCAUACUAAAUUAUCUUCCAAUCACACAAAGGCACAAAAUUUUUAUACAAAUUCACGUGUCAUUUAAUUAAAAUUACGCGGGCUAGUUAAUGACACCCUGGUUUAUAUAUAAUAUUUGACAGUUUUAUUGUCGCGUCUUUAAAUAGAUGUAAGGAGAUUCAGUUUGUAAAUCUCAAGUCAAAUCACUAAAUCUCCUAUCUUCGAACUCAAAUUACGAAUAAAAAAAAAAAAAGGAAAGUAGAGAAUUGAGAGUUCAAAAAUAGAUAUUGUAUUAAUUUAUGACAAUAAAAAUAUUAUUUUUCGUGUGAGUGUUAGUUAGUUUGACUAAUAAAACCUUUUUAAGAAUUAAGAUGAUUUAUAAAGUCUACUGCUCAUAAGAAUUAUAUUUUUGUUAAGCCACUAAUAAGGAAAAAAAGAUUUUACCAUCAAUUUUUUGCCUCCUUAUGUAUUCAAUAUUGAAAUUUUACAAGAGCUAAAUUUUAAUUAAUUAGUUAGGCAAUAAACAAUGCAAUUUAAUUGAGAUUAAAAAAAAAGGUAGCCUCAAAACAAGGUGGGCCCAUUACGAGACUUCCAUUUUUUAAGAUGAAAUUAUUAGUUGUUUUAAUGUAUCAAAUUCUCUUGUUCUAUAGCAAAAUAAAAAUUAAUAAACCACUUAGAUCACUCCCAACUAGUAAAUAUAUUAUCUAAAAAAUGAUAAAAGCCAUAUAGAAAGAGUCAAAAAAAUUCACUAAAUUUUUUUUUUAAAGUGAACGCGGCGUCGUUUUGCCUGCGCUUAUGACAGAUGGAUAAGGCCUUCAUUUUUCCUUUUUUCAUUUUUCAUUUUUUUUUAAUUUUCUCACAUAAUAUAAGAGGAGGGUUUUGACUUUUCACACUUUCUCGUUUCAGUUUUUCAGUCUGUUGAGGAUUGUAAAUUUAUUUUCUUCAUUAAUUAAAAAAAAUUCCCAGUCUCUUCUCCAUUUUCUUUUUUGAAACAAAAUUCUUAGGGUUUACUUCAAUCUCUCCUUCGAUUGAUUUCUUAAACUACUGGUGCGUUAAUUUAAUUUUUGUUUAUUCGAACUGUUGUUAUUAGUAUUUCAAUUGUCAAUAUUUUUCCGAUCAUUGAAUAAGCUCUGUUUUGUAAUGCUUUAAUCUUGAACGAGCUGAUUUCAUAUGCCCGCAUUAGCUUUCUCGAAUUACCUCAUUUUCUCGCUUAAUUUUAAGGUUUAGAUUUGCAUUUGUUCGAUUAGAUGAUGAUUUAUAGUAAUUCGAGAUUGUCGUGAUUGUAGUUUCAUUCAUUUUUACUGCCAACAUUUUGUUUCGAUAAAACGAUUGUAAAUUGUUACUAGUAUGCAUAUUUCACUUGUCGUAUUGUUAGAGUUUUUGUGAAUAUUUCGUGUAUUCUUUGCAUUUUGGUCUAGUUUUUGUAUUUAUUUUGUUACUUAAAUCUAUAUUGGUCAAUUCUUUGUGCAACUGAUCACUGUCGCAAGGGUUAGGUAUAUGGAUAUAUGUUUGUAAAUGUAGUAUGUGAUCUUUGUUAAGUGAAUGCUAUUCCUGGCAUAAAGGACAAUUGAAGAUUUUUCGUAUUCUGGCGGUGGCUUAAAAGAAUUGAUAUGGUGAUAGCUUUUUCAUUUUUUCCAGUUUUAUUGUUGACAUACUGUUUGUUCAUAUUUGUUUCAGGGGUUGUUGCAAUGCACCGCGUGGGUAGUGCGGGUAACAAUGCCAAUUCUACUCGCCCCCGUAAAGAGAAGAGGUUGACAUAUGUGUUGAAUAAUUCUGAUGACACCAAGGUGAAGUGAAUUUGUGAUUCUUUUAGCUUUUUAUAGUAUUUUUUUUUGUUUUCAAACUCUGAAGAGCAUGAGGUCCUUUGUGGAUUGUAUGCUUUCCUAGAUCUUGAAUAAUGUGCCUUUUCCAUUUAAGCUAAUUAUAUGUUUGGUUGAUUGGUAGGAUUGUAAAUUGGUUGCCAAGCACUUAGUCGAUUCAGUUGAUACUUGUUUGCCUUUGCCUUUUCAUAUUGGAAAAAUAACCGGAGUUUAAAUACAUUACUGUGGCAAAUAAAACCUUUAUCAAAUCAUUAAAGUAUGACUUAGAAACGUCAUACAUGUGUAUUAUGGAUACCUAAAAUUAUAUUAGAUAACUUUUUCUAUAGCAUUGGGCUUUUUUAUUACGGAAACUGAUGUAUUUUUUAUACUAUUGAUGACUUCAUUAAUGUUAGCAAAGUUGUAGUUCCUCAUGUUGCUCUUUUUGGAAUUCUUCUCUUGUAGCAUUGUGCUGGCAUAAAUUGUUUGGCUGUAUUGAAGUCAUCUGUAUCCAAUGGGGUUGAUUACCUGUUCACUGGCAGUCGUGAUGGCACAUUAAAGAGAUGGUCACUGGCUGAUGAUGUUGGAAGUUGUUCUGCAACAUUUGAGUCGCAUGUUGACUGGGUACAUUCUUUUUUUCAUGUGGUUUUUUAUUGUUCAUCAAGUAUGACUACCAACAGGCCUUAGCUAAGUUGGUAUUUAUAAAAUUUUUGUCACAUACUUAGUUUAAGAUUGCAUUGGAGCAAAUUUGAGUUGAAUCUUCAUCCACUGGAAUUUUUUUUAAAGUAAUUAUUUUGAAUCUAUUAUUAAAAAUUAACUCGCCCUCAAACACACACCUGCAAGAAAGAAAAGGAGUAUUAGACAUGAACACCAGAAUUUUUAUUUGUUAAAUACACAUCUAAGAUUGAGGUAGAGAGCCUUCUAGAUCUUCGUAUGGAACUAGAAUAUGGAGCUAUCUUCUAUCAUGGUAUAUUAAUACGAUACAAUUGUCUAUUUGAAUGCAUAAAUAUCUAGCUGCCCUUGCAUAUAAGGGGAAUGUCUGUGGUUCUGCAGGUAAAUGACGCUGUCCUUGUAGGUGAUAAUACUCUUGUUUCCUGCUCUUCAGACACCACCCUCAAGGUUUGUUAAUUUGGUUUUGCCGAUUUUCUAAUAUGUUUACUAUGCGUUUCUUGUUGAUUGAUUUGGUUAUUUCGUUUUUCUUUCUUUUCGGUUGAUAUACUCCAGACAUGGAAUUGCUCAUCUGAUGGAACUUGUAUAAGGACUCUCCGUCAGCACUCUGACUAUGUUACUUGUCUCGCUGCAGCAGAAAAAAAUGUAAUUUCUAUGUCAAAUCUUUCGUGGAUCUUAGUAACUGCAUUGAUGAAAGGUUCCUUUCAGAGAAAUCUUUCUAUUUAAGUUUUAUAUUCAAUUCGAUGGCAAAAAUUGCUUUUGGACAUGUAGUUUCUGUACUAUCAUUACUAUUUUCGUUUUCUGAUCCUCUUUUAGUAUCAUGCAUUUUAGAGCAAUAUUGUUGCAUCUGGUGGUCUUGGUGCGGAGGUUUUCAUAUGGGAUAUAGAAGCUGCCCUUGCUCCUUCGAAAUCAGGUGAUGCCAUGGAAGAUGAUUGUUCAACUGGUAUCAAUGGUUCUGGGAAUUCGUUACCAGUAACAAGUCUACGGACCAUUGGUUCAAGCAACAGCAUUUCAGCACACACAAGUCAGUCUCAAGGAUAUGUCCCAAUUGCUGCCAAAGGCCAUAAGGAGUCUGUCUAUGCAUUGGCCAUGAAUGAUAGUGGAAACCUUCUGGUUUCUGGUGGAACUGAGAAGGUAUAAUCCAAUGUAAAGACCGUUGUUGCAUUCCUUUUUUUCUGCUGCAUAGGAAAUUAAAGAAAGAUGCACAUAUUUCCUUCUUUUGUUGUUCAACUCUUAUUAUUUUAGUGAUUAGAUGGUUUGAAAGGGUUUCUAAUGGAGACUAAUUUUGUGCAUCCUGUCAUGCUUCCUCUAGGUUGUACGUGUAUGGGAUCCAAGGACUGGUUCAAAAACUAUUAAGCUUAGAGGGCAUACAGAUAAUAUUCGAUCUCUGCUCCUAGAUUCUACUGGAAGGUUAGUUGAAUGGAGUCUGUAGUUAUCUAAUGUUAUGAAAAUAUUUCUCAAAUAGUUACUAGGGGGAGAAAGUGUGUGAUGCAAUUCAGUGCAUGUCAUAGCAUGAGUGACAGAUAUGAUAAGGUGAUUGGGAUGUGUGCAAAAAGUUAUAAAGGCAACUCAAUUCAAAUGCCUUCUCUGAGGGUAAAAAACAAAUUUGGGUUAUACUGAUAAAACGAAGGGUGGGGGUAAAGGAUCUCAAAAAAACCAUUUUUUUCAUUUUAAAUUGCAGGGGAAUGCCGAGGUGGGAUGCUUAUAAAUAAAGAAGAUUUGGGGUCACUGUAUGAUUGGGUUCCAUUUGUUUAUUCCCUUAAUUAAUUUAGUUCAUUUAUUUAUUUUUUUAUCAAUUUCUGCAGAUAUUGCUUAUCAGGAUCCUCCGACUCUAUGAUCAGGUAUUCAGGCUAUUUUUUAAAUUCUUCUAAGAGUUGUCCCAACCAUACAAAUCGGAGAUAUGAUCCGUAAUUGGUUAUUGAUUCAUUUUUAUAGGUUAUGGGAUCUUGGUCAACAACGAUGCAUUCACUCCUAUGCUGUCCACACUGAUUCUGUUUGGGCACUUGCCAGCACUCCAACAUUUAGUCACGUUUACAGUGGUGGGAGAGACCUUUCUGUGAGUACUCUUAUCUUGUGUAGAAAAUAUUCUCUCACUUUGUCUACUAUUUAGGUUCGGUGCUUAAUUCUGUGUAUGCCCUCAGUUAUACUUGACAGACUUGGCGACUAGAGAAAGUCUAUUGCUUUGCACAGGGGAACACCCAAUUCUGCAAUUGGCAUUGCAUGACGAUAAUAUAUGGGUAGCCACAACAGAUUCUUCGGUUCAUAGGUGGCCUGCUGAAGGACGCAAUCCUCAAAAGGUCUUUCAGAGAGGUGGCUCAUUCAUAGCUGGAAAUUUGUCUUUUUCGAGGGCAAGAGUUUCGUUGGAAGGAUCUACGCCAGUAAGUAAAACUUUCAUCCACUUAUUUUCCAAUAGUUUCUGUAUUAUGCAGUUAUUUUGUUUAAGUUGUAGACAUCCCUUAUAGUUUUUGCCAGAUCAUUUGUGGAUAAUUGGAUUAUUGAUAUUUUUCUCAAUGGUUGUUGCAUUAUCCAUUUACAGCUCGUUUAUAGCUGGCUUCAUUUUCAGUUCUGAUUCCCCUUGAGGAACCUUGUGGAAAGUAUUAACUGCUUUUGAUCUUCUGCAUUAUAUUUCAUAAUAUGCCUUCUUUUCAUUGAUUUGCACUCGACUUUUUUCUUUUUCUCAUUUUUUUUUUUGGGCCCCCACUCUUUAACUGUAAUCUCUUCUGACUGUCUUCAAUUUUCCAAUAAAUGAUGUCUCUCUUUCUUUUCCUUUUACUGUGAUGCAUGCCUUCAAUAACUAACUAUUUGGCAUUUUUGCAGGUUCCCGUUUUCAAAGAACCAAACUUUACCAUUCCUGGAAUUCCGGGAAUUGUGCAGCAUGAAAUCUUAAAUAAUAGAAGGCAUGUUUUGACUAAGGUGAAUAUCAUAGUUUCCUUUGUUCUGCUAGUUUUGCUGUUGAGUGCCUGUCUUUUGCUGUUGUGCUUUUGUAAACUUGUUAAUCCUUUUUGAUAGGACACUGCUGGUUCAGUGAAGCUAUGGGAGAUCACGCGAGGUGUUGUGGUUGAGGACUAUGGAAAGGUUGCAAAGUUUCUUAAUCCUUGUAUUUCAGCAGAACUUUAUGGUUUCUAGUGCAUGGCUGAUUUUGUGUUUGAUUUCAAUCUUACAGGCUUCAUUUGAGGAGAAAAAAGAAGAACUAUUUGAGAUGGUAUUGACCUGUUUGUUGUAGUGUCAAAUUGUCAACAAAUUUGGUGAACCUUACUGAUCAUUUCCUUGUGGCUCCAGGUAAGUAUUCCUGCGUGGUUCACGGUGGACACUAGACUUGGAAGCUUGUCUGUUCAUUUGGACACACCACAAUGCUUCUCCGCUGAGAUGUAUUCAGCGGACCUUCAAAUUGCUGGAAAGCCUGAGGACGAUAAGGUAAAAGUACUUUUGGUCUUCAUUCCCUUGAGUAAUUCACAUGUAUCAAUAAAUGGACUUGUCUUGUUUUAUUUUUCUUGGAUUAGUUUGAUUAUUCUAUAUCUAGAUCCCUAAACUGUUGUAUCAGUGGGGUAUAUAUAUGAUAUGUGGAACUUAUAUAUAUUUGCUUCUGUUAAUAUUCUUUGGCAAUUCUUUUAACUAUCAUGCAGAAGGUACAUUAAAAUACCAAAGACGUAUUAAAAUGUAGUGUUGACCUGCUGUUGGUGCUUUAUCUUAAAGGGCUGAAGUCUCUUCCCCAAACACCCUCUCUCUCCCAACCCAUUUAUAGUGAAUGCAUUACACACACACACAUAUAUAGAUUGAUCUUGAUUCCGUGGGGGAUAAAAAAAUAGUUAGCCUUAAAAUAUUGGUAUUUGUUUAGAAAAUUUCACUGAGUUAUUUAUUGCAUUUACUUGUGAUCCACAGGUUAACUUAGCUCGUGAAACCCUCAAAGGUCUACUGGCUCAUUGGUUAGCUAAGAGAAAGCUGAGACUUGGAUCACAAGCUACUGUCAAUGGGGAUGUUUUAUCAGCAAAGGAUAUCAGUGCUAGAAGUCUUACCCAUUCAAGAGUUGAAGUAGAUGGUAAUGCUGAAAAUGACUCAGUGGUGUAUCCUCCAUUUGAAUUCUCAACAAUUUCGCCACCAUCCAUAAUUACGGAGGGUUCUCAAGGAAGCCCAUGGAGAAAGAAAAUUACAGACUUGGAUGGAACUGAAGAUGACAAGGACUUUCCUUGGUGGUGUCUUGACUGUGUCUUGAAUAAUCGUCUACCACCCAGAGAAAACACCAAGUAAUUUGACUUAUUGCCGUUUAUAUAUCUAAAUAUAACCAUCUUUUGUGGAAAGUUAAACAUGACUGAAUUGGACACAGUAUAUGCGUCCUUGUUCUCCCAUGAGAGAUAUGUCAUUGCGGCAGCUUUUCUUUUAGAAGAAAUCAUUAACUAUUUUGACACAUUUAUAAGUUUGAUAGAAGCAAUCCAAAAGUGGCUGUUUUUUGGCUGUUUUUGUUUGGACUUCAACUUCUUCUCUUCCCUCUUGCAUAUUUUUUUUUGUUUUUUUUUUUUUGGGGGGGGGGGGGGGGGGAGUGUAUUCUGCUAUUUUCAUGUUUUCCUUGUAUCUGGCUAUAAUAAGUAGGAAUUUUACACCUUACAUAUACUUUCAUAUUUGGUUUACAGGUGCAGCUUUUACCUGCAUCCUUGUGAAGGUUCGGCUGUCCAGAUCCUGACACAGGGGAAACUAAGUGCACCUCGGAUAUUGAGAAUACACAAGGUGAUUUGGUUUACAAGUGUUGUUGCUCGGCAAUAUGAAAACUUUUCAUUUUGCUGAGUUAGGUUAACUAAUUGCAUUUGCUCUACUUUCAUUAAUAUGAUCUCUUAAUUAAUUACCUGGAAAGCUAUGCUAUUGACAAUUGUUUAUUCAAACUUCAAAAUGAACUGCACUCCUAUUGAUAGAUGAAAAUAUAUGAGAUUUUGGAGGUAUCACAUAGAAAAUCAUACACAAUGACAGUCUUUGUAAACUAGACAGGAUUAUUGCCUCCGUUUGCUUUUUCGUAGGAUGUAAUAAAGGUUCUUGCUGCAUGUAAAGUUAAAAUUAUUUACUAUGCAUUUUUUAUUUUUAACAUACUAGAGUUUAAUAUGGAGCCUAGAUCCAUUACAAUAUGCAGAUUCAUUCCUUUCUGUUGGCAUUUUCACUUUCCUGAUGGUGUCUGGUGUUGAAGAUUUCUGCACUUUUGUUGAUAUCUCAACCUUUUUGACUGUCUUCUGGCCUGUGUAUAUAGCUUUAUGCAUGGAAUGAUACACAUUUGAAGACUCCUUCACAUUUGUGGAUAUCUCUACCCUUUUGACUGUCUUCUGGCCUCUACAUGGCUUUAAGCAUUGACUGACACAUUCUUUCAGUAGACAUGCCUUAUACGUUGAAAAUUUCUGUUGAAUGAUAUUUUUGGAUAAGGCUAUGUAGUAAUUGCCUUGUUCUACCGUCCCAUUUUUUUCAAGAACUGACUGUCUUUGCUUUACUGUUAUGUUUAUGUAGGUUGUUAAUUAUGUCAUAGAGAAGAUGGUUUUUGAUAAACCAUCGGAUAGUGUAAAUCCUGAUGGAACAUUCGCUCCUCCCCUUGGCGGAGGUCCAUUGCAGAGCUCUGCUGUUGGAGAUGGAUCUUUCCGUUCUGGAUUGAAGUCAUGGCAAAAGCUAAGGCCUUCUAUAGAGAUCUUGUGUAAUAAUCAGGCAAGUGAAUCAUCUCUCAGAUGUUGAUAAACCGAUAAUGCUAAGCUUUUACAGUUUAAAAAUGUUUUAGUAGAGAUAGUUGUGUGGUAAACAAGAAAAAGGCAGUGAUCAAUUAGUUUACUCAUUUUAAGAUUAACAUGCUUGUUGUUGUCCAAAUUUUUUAUGUUUAGAACUUAGCAAAUAUAGUUUUAAUUAUAUGCCAACAUGCUUGAUUUGCCUUGCUAUCUGGUGUCCGUUAUUGGUUUUUGUCUUUCCUAGUCAAGAGUAAACCCAAUGUGCAUAUAGGUCUAGCUUUUUCCUUGAUUGCUUGAAUUUUAAAAUCAAAUGGGUUCCUGUUUACUGGAGUUUGCAUUUGUCAACUAAUAUGAAAAAUUGUUAUUUAAAUUGCAGCACAUGUGAGAACUGUGACCAUGAACAUGCCUUCAUCAUUUUUCAACCUAUAGUUUGGCUUUUGUUCGUAUUGAGCAAUCUGUUUCUGUAAUUCCCAGGUCUUAUCUCCAGAUAUGAGCUUGGCUACUGUGCGUGCUUAUGUAUGGAAGAAACCUGAGGACCUGGUUCUUAAUUACAGAGUGGUCCAGGGCAAGUGACCCCAAAUGGUUUCGGAAGAAGGUGAAUGCUUUUUACUUUCUAUGGCUUUCAUGAUUCUAAGUUACCAUUUUAGUACUCAAAUUUUGCUGCAAUUUUGUACAAGUGAAAACACUUGGAAAAAUGGACUCCUUUAUCUCAAACAAAAGAAAUGCAAGGUAAUCCUUCCAAUUUGUCUAUGAAUUCCAUUUGACAAAAGUUCAUUUGGAAUUGCACAAAAUGGCUAUUUUUUCCCCCUUAGAGGAAAGCAUAAUUGUAUGGAAAAUUUACUAAUUUUGACCAUGCUGAGUUGGUUCUCUUCUGGUAUUGUGUUUUGUGUAUUUUUAUGCCGGUUGUUGUUAUCUACUGUUGCAGGCUAGACUCUGCGUGUGUGACGGAGAUGUUGUGAAACAAAAAAAAAAGUAUAUCGAUUCUUCUGGGUCGGCUUUCGUUGGGCCCUUGUACAUUUGGAAAACCAAUGGAUUGCUGAACCUUGAGCAUUCUCCGAACCUGCUGUGAAGAUCCUUUCAACCAUUUUCCCUGUUGGACAGGUUCUAUGAUAAAAAAAUUUUGAUCAUUGUCUUGCUGAAAUGUUGCCAGUUUUUGCUGCGGAGUGGGGAUUAUACUGUAAGUCUGCUUGUGGGAAUAGAAGGGGAUUGUGACAAAAGAAAAUUUGCUAGUACUACUUUGAAUACUUUUGGUGAAGACUACUGAAUUACAGAGAUAAUGUUGAAAACUUGUAGAAUUGUAUUAUGGAGCAAGAUACCUGACCCUGCCAUAAUUAAUUAAUUAUGGACAUUUUUUUGCCUCUUGUCAUUUUUCUUAAAAAUUGUCUUCCUUUCCUUUUUUGGGUAAAAAAUAAUAGUGUAAUACGAUUCUCUUUUGUGUUAAAUUAGUCACAUAAGUUAUAUUUGGCUAGUCUUGUUUAAAUGGUUUUGAUUAGUGAGUAGGUUAUAUUUUUCCCAGAUUGCUUGAAUGAUUGAACUAAUAGGUGUUAGUUGGGAAUUUUAACAGAAACCACGUGAAAAAUAACUAAAAACUUGUGUUUUCGGUGGGAACACUUGUGUUUGCUUGAGAGAAAAUAUGGAGCGAGUUCACAUGCCUCUCGACAAGAUAAUAUUUAUGGGUUUUUUUUUCCCCCACUUUUGAAAGGGAUAAUAUUUAUAAAUUAUGACGCGCAUUUCUUGGAAAGCCUUUCGGGAAUUUUCAACUUCAAAAAACUUGAAAGAUGCUUUCCUGUGACACCAAGAAUAAUUUUUUCUGAUGUAGCUUUUCAAUUUUUGACUUUUGCAUUGCGAUGAUAUUGGUGGUUGCCACUCUAAGGUUCCAUGAGUGAUUGUCAUCCAAUCAUAAUUGAUAGGCAAUAGGCUUGUGAUUAAGUGGUACUUAUGCCUUAAAUAUGUGUGAGUGGACAUGAGCUUCGAUUUUCAUGGGGCUUAUUCCCCUUGAAUACGGGUAAAUAUUUUUUAAUAUUUGGUGUUGGUUGAUUUUCAGAUUAGUGCUUGACAUAUUUCUUCACUGUACUAUAAGUGCAAGCAUCUACAUUCCCAGUAGAUUUUGUUGUAAUAUAUCUGUAAUAAUUUUAAAUGUAUACAAUUCAAAAGCCUUCCCAUUAGAGCAUGAUAUUUGGCCAGCUUUUACACCACAGCAACUACAGCUUAAAAUCUACAACACUUCACUUUCAAACACACCCUAAAUUAGAUGGAAACGAAUCCGCACGCUCCGUAUUUUGGUUGCAAAGUGUCUUCUGCUUUCUUCUUCUUUAAUGUAAGGUGACACAUGGUGCCACGUGGAAGUGUAUGCAUCGUUUGAGGCAAGAGGACAAUAAAACCAUUGCUUUCUCAAUGCUGGAAUCUCCAACUCCUCGUUGAAUGUAGAGUGGAAGAAAUUUGGCCAACGGUUGCAGUCUUUUGCUGGCUGCUAUGCGUGUAACCGCUUCAGUCCAUUCACAUUUUCUUAUCUCAUUUUAUUUUUUCGUUUUUUUAUUUUUUAAGAAAAGAGGGUAGAAAAAGUUUAAAUUGAUUUUUUUUUAAUCUCUAAUUUCUUUAAGAUUUGAACUCGGAUGACCGAAUAAAUAAAACAAUUUAAAUAUCACUCCAUGAGUCUCAUCACUAUUUCGCUGGUAUCAUGUUAGAUAGUAACAUUUUAGUGGAGUAUUAUCAAAUACCCGCCUAAUAUUUUAUGACGCAUAUUACUUUAUCAUCAAGAUUAUUUGACAACUACAUUUUACCACUUGUUGUUUUAGUAGUUAUUAUUUUUGCCACCAAAUGGUUAACAGCAACAGAAUGUCUAACAUAGCAUUUGUUAAAAUACCAGUUUACCCCUUAACCUACUUAAGUGUAUAGAAAUAUGAUUUUGUCCUAUAAAAUAAAAAAUUCCCAAAAAUAAAGGAUUGGAAAAUCAAAUAUUUUUAAUGUUAAAAAUAUUUGAAAAUAAAUGGCUAUAUUAAGUUUUAAUAUCUAUAUUUAUAUCAAUUUAUAAAUACAAAUCAACUUUAAUCAUUAAUUUAAUAAAAACAAACAAUUAUUUAAAAAAAUUAUUUAAUUAUAUUUUCUUGUUCUUUUCCCAUUUGCAUUAAGUUAUUUAAAUCAAUUUAAUAAGUAUAUAUCUAGGGGUGGGCAAAAAAACCGUAGUCUUAAAAAAACCGAACCGAACCGACGGUUUUUUCUAAUUCGGUACGGUUUUUUUUUGUACAAAAAACCGAACGGUACAAUUUAUAAAAAAACCGAAAUGUCGGUUCGGUAUUCGGUUCAUUUAACUGAACCGAAAAACCGAACAGAAAAACCGAAUUAUUUUUAAAUUUUAUUAAAUUAAAUAUGUGUUAAUUUUUAACUGAUUGUGUAAGAUAGCUAACAUAACCUUGCAUACACACAAUCAGAGUAUAUAUAUAUGUUAGUGUUACAAUUUCGUAAAUUUUUAUUUCCCAAAAUAAACCCUAAAAUCAAAUAUAAAAAAAUUUCGUAAAUUUCGUAAAUUUCAAUUUCUUGAAGAAUUUUUUAGGCUAAUGCAAUCUUAAAAACAACAGCAAGUAGUUGAGGAGUAAAUGAUAGUUGAUUGAUGUUGCUUACCAGUAAGUUUUCUUUAUUUUUUUUUAAACUAGCAUCUUAUUAUAUAGAUUUUUUAUUUAAUUAUUUAUUAAUAGUUAGAAAGAUAUUAUUGAUAAAAUGUGUUUUGAAUACUUUGUAUUUAUUGUUAAUAUUUGUAAUGAAAUUAGGAUGAACUUGUUGAAAAAAAUUAUUACAUUUAUGAAGCCCAAUGGGCUAAAAAUUUGAAAAUUCAAAAUAGGCCAAGAACCGAAAAAACCGAACCGAACCGAACCGAACCGAAAAGAACCGUUUGAAUUCGGUUCUUUUUUAGUUCGGUUCUUAUUCGGUUCUUUUUAUAAAAUAACCGAUUUAAAUCGGUUCUACUUAAUUUCGAACCGAACCGAACCGAACCGAACCGUGCCCACCCCUAUAUAUAUCAAUUACAAUAUUUAAUUUAAUAAUCAUAAAUAAUUGUAUUAUUUUAUUUAAAAAAUAUCAAUUUGCCACUUUGCUUAUUAGGAAAUUAUCAAAUUAUUUCAUGCAUUUUUUGUUUUGUAUCAAAUCAUUACUAAUGCUUAAAGUUUUCAACGGAAAAAGACUGUGAACUCCUAAAGUUUAGAAAAAUGGACAUAAAGUCCCUUAAUAUUAAAAAGAAAAACAUAUAACCCCCAUUAUUGUUAGUAAAUUCAAUUUGUUUUAAUAAUAAAUUUAUUUUAAUUUAUAAUUACUUUUAUGUCCCUAUAAUAAAUAAAUCAAUAUAUUGACCUAACAAAUGUCGAUGAUGUUGAAAUGAAUAACUUUUCAUUAAAAUUUAAAAUUGAGAUAUAUUUAUCUUUUGCCCAAGUUAUCCACUCUAAAUUAUCAAUAUACCCUUCCCAAUAAAAAAUGAUAAGUAAUAGAUAAAAUUAAAAUUCACUCUAAAAAUAAUGAAUAAUUUGGGCAAAAGGUAAUUACAUCUUACUUUUAAGUUUUAAAUAAAAAGUUAUUGAUUUCAUUAUACACAUGACAUGUUUUAAGUAAAUAUAUUAAUUAAUUUAUUAUAGGGACAUAAUAGUAAUUAUAAAUUUAAAAUAAAAUUACUAUUAAAAUGAACAUAAUUUAUUAAUAAAAGGGGUUAUGUGUCUUUUUUGAAAAAUGAAGGGAUUUUAAGUCUUUUUUUCCAAACGUUAGGGAGUUUAUUAUUCUUUAAUCAUUUUUCAAAUUGAAGUAACGUAAUUUUUUUAACGAAGUUAACGAUUUAGUGGUAAAAUGAUAAUAAUAAAAUGUGAUAAAAUAUAAUUAUAAAAAAAUAUUAAACGUUAAGGAGUUCGAGGUUUGAGAAUGCAGCUGCGAUUAAAAUUGCCAUCCUAAUAGUCAUAGCUGACUUGAAUCUGAAUUAACCUGGAGGCCAAUCUAAUAUUUGAAUACCAGAUAAUUAAAAAAAAAAAAUCUGGGUGGUUGAAUAUUAUCAUGGAUAUUUAAUAUUAGGAUCCCUCUAAGUUACAUGCAUGUACCUUACAAUCCUCUCACAUAAAUAGUAUCCAUACACUAUUCAUGUGAGAGGAAUGUAAGGUACAUGCAUGUAACUUAGCAUUACCCUUAAUAUUAUCCUUAUUUUAGCAGACGACAUUACUUAUUAUGCGGUGGAGGGUAAGAGGCAGCUAGAACUUCGUACUUCUGUAGCUUCAUUUUCUUGACAUAUCAUGAAUAAUAAGAACGUUAAUCAUGAUUAAUUUUUUCUGGUUUUUGCGGUCCAAAUAGGAUAUCCAUGCAAAUAUGAAAUGUGGAUGGAUGUACUGUUAAAGAAGGAACAGUAACAAUGGCAGACAGACCCACUUUUCCGGUACCCACCAAACUGCCAAAGACAAAGUGCAACUGUUAAAAGGCUGCGCAUUUAAGCAACAUCCCUUCGUAUGUGUAGGAGUGGCCUUCCCUUAACCAAAUACAAGCAUGAGGCUUAUGAGUAAUUAGACAAGAACUUGAAUUAAAUCUACUAGCUGUUAAGUAACUGAUUUGAGCUUCCCUCUUUUUGCCUGUUUCUUAACUUUAUUUUGCCUUUUUCACUUCUAUUAAACUAUUGGCUUGUAAUAUUCCUUACCCGUGAAUAUGUUUUACUUCCUCAUUCAUUUUUGCUUCAUAUGAGUUCGUCACUCUUUACUAUAUAAGAUAGGAAUCCUUUAAGUUCAUGCUCGAGAGAUACUAAAAUCCAUUUUGCUUUCUGGGUUUGCUUCAAAUGGAGAUACUGGGAUUGUAUUCCUAUUAGUGUGUUUAUUGUUUAUUCCCUUCGAGGUUUGCUUUAAAUUUUCAUUUUUGAAGGGUUUUUGUUUGAUGUACUUUUGUAGAAGCAUAAAGGGUGUGAGUGUUUCAGUUAAGAGUAUUUUGUGGAACUUUCAGUUAAGUUUAGUUAUAGCAGUUCAGCCGGUGAAUUCUGGGAAAAUUUUAAUUUUUAUUCCAUUGCUAUUCAAAACCAUGGCAUCGGUUAUAAAUUUUCCGGUAUCUCCUAGUUUUGUGAUAAAUUCACAGUAUAAAACUUCUUUUAGAGCAAGAGCUCAGAGUGUGGGUGGUGGUGAUUCAACAGUGCUGUCUUCUGGUUCGAUUGCAGUGAAUGGGGAUCCUGUAAGCAGAGAGAAGGAGAAAAAUGGAGCCUUGAUUGAUGUAGGAAAUGGGACAUUAAAGCCUAGAGUUGAGAAGAAAAAGUUGGUUAAAAAUGUUAUCUCGGAAGAACUGGAAGUGCUCUGGGAUGAUGGAUACGGGACUGACAGCGUCAAGGAUUAUCUUGAUGCAGCUAAAGAGAUAAUUAAGCCCGAUGGAGGGCCACCCCGGUGGUUUUGCCCGGUUGACUGUGGCUGUCCUUUGAAGGGUUCUCCAACUCUUCUGUUUUUGCCUGGUAAUUGUCUCUCUCAUCAAGUUGAUAAGCUGAUGGUAGUUAAAAUUUUGCUCUGUUCUUUUUUUAUGAAGAGACAUGUAAAUAGCAAGAGUCCAGUCUCUGACAAGUUAUUUUGUUCCUUAAAGUUCAGUUUAAUAUCUUGUGAGUUGGAACUCUGAAAGUAUUGCCGUUCCGUCUUGCUACAGUAGGAAUUUGCAAGGUCUAUAUAUAUAUAUAUAUUUAUUUAUUUAUUUAUAUAUCUUGAUGCAUGCAGGGAUUGAUGGACUUGGAUUAGGCCUCAUUUUGCACCACAAACCUCUUGGGAAGUAAGUGUUUAUGCUAGAAUAUUUUUCUAAAAUUUGGACAUGUCAUAGUGCCUGAAAGUCACUAUUAGUUAUAUUUUUUUUUCUAAUUACUGUUCAAUUAAAGCAAUAAUAUUUGAUUAAGAAUUUUUUGGUGCACGCAGAGCAUUUGAAGUUAGGUGCCUUCAUAUUCCUGUUUAUGAUCGAACCCCAUUUGAAGGUUUCAUCCUCUGGAUUCAUUUUGAACUUUCAUCUUUUUUUUUUUAAAAUUUAUCACUAAUUUAUGUUUUUUAAUUUUUGUAAGGACUGGUAAAAUUUGUUGAAGAAACUGUGAGACGUGAGCAUGCCUCAUCUCCAGAGAAACCAAUUUAUUUGGUGGGGGAUUCCUUUGGAGGAUGCCUAGCACUUGCUGUUGCUGCUCGUAAUCCGACCAUUGACCUAAUCUUGAUACUAUCCAAUCCGGGUUAGUUUUCAGAUUUUUAGUUUUACUAUUUUCCUCAAGCAAGUGCUUGAUACUAUCAAGUAGACUGAUAUUCUUAUCCUUUAAAUUUAGCUACAUCGUUUGGCAGAUCACAGCUGCAACCCUUGUUCCCUAUCUUGAAGGCUAUACCUGAUGAAUUACAUGGCGCAGUCCCUUACCUUCUUAGCUAUGUUAUGGGUAAUUUCUGCUGCUUCAAAGUCGACUGCAAUUGAAUAACCUUUUGGGUUUCUGAUAAAAGUUUGCAUGUCACUUGCAACUUUUCUGCUAUUGCUAUGUUUAUUUAUUUAUUUUCUUUUGAAUGACAUCAGGAGAUCCAAUAAAGAUGGCAAUGGUUAAUAUUGAGAACAGGCUUCCUCCUAGAAUAAAACUCGAACAAUUGUCUAACAACCUCCCUGCUUUGCUGCCUCGACUUUCUGUAAGAAUUGAUUGCUCUUGUGCUUGUAGUUUAUAGUGCUUCUAUUUUGGAAAAAAAUUCUGAAUAAUUUAUUGGUUGCAUAGAUACUUCAUAAUGAUUUGCUAAUUCUGGGCCGAUAUCUUUGCUGGCAGCUAUAUUUUCACAUAAAUUUCUAAUGUUACCUUCUUUUGGUCAGGUUAUGUCUGAUAUUAUCCCCAAGGACACUCUUCUUUGGAAGUUGAAGUUGCUUAAAUCAGCUUCUGCUUAUGCUAAUUCCCGCCUCCAUGCUGUUAAAGCUGAAGUAUUAGUGCUUGCCAGGUCCUUAUUCUCUCAAGCGUUACAGUGUUUUUUCAUAUAAUUUACCAUGCAUAAAUAUGAAUUGGUUGCUUUUGGUUUUGUCACAAUUGUUUUAUAUCCUUCCCAAAAAAGACUUAUAUGAAGGGUCUUAGUGUUGGAACGCAAUCUCUUCAAGUUCAUGAAUUUACCAAUUGUUGUUUUAUUCUUGAAGUAUACUGCUAGUCUGUUAUGUAGAUAGUUUUCCCUCUCUCUCUCUCUCUCUCUCUCUCUCUAUAAUGGGCAUAAAUUAGAUAGUAACUUUGAGCCUUAAUCAUAUGCCAGAAAUUUGGAGUAAUCAAGUAUUAUCUCAUGUUUGCAUCUUAUCUUUCUUGUCAGCUAAUUUACCGUUCCAUGCUUUCAAUGCUUAUUAAGGUGAAAGAAUGAAGACAAAAAAAUCUUCGUGGGUUGUAAGAUUGAUUUUUUUUUUUUUAAUAAUUCCAGUGGCAAGGAUAACAUGCUUCCUAGUGAGGAUGAAGCAAAACGCCUCAAUAAUUCAUUGCAGAAUUGCAUAGUUCGCAACUUCAAGGACAAUGGCCAUACCCUUCUACUGGUAAUUUAUAUGAAGUGACUGUGUGUAUGUAUAAUAUUACUUACUUAAUGCUGCCAUGCCUAAGCUUUCAUCAUAAAUGUGUUCAGAGAAGUGAAAUUUUUGGUCACAGAAAAUUAUCGUCAUUUGUGUUCACUCAUAAUUAUGUUCCCAAGUUAUUAACUGAGCAGUGCAUAAAAUAGUAACCGAUGAUUAUUGUUAAACUAUCUAUAAUGCCUAUUGGCUUAUAUUUGUCUGUAAAAAAUAGUCAACUAUACCUGUUUUAGUAAUGUAAUUGGUUUUCAUACCUGAUGUUUGAUACAAACAAUUUAUAGAAGCCUUUGAGUUUUCUGUUUGUUUAGUAAAAUAUGAUUUUUGUUAUCCUUUCAUUCUUUAAACCCUCUCACGUAAACAAAAAUUUCUGGACCAAUCUCUAUGUUAGUUGAUGCAAUGUUUCAAAUUUAGAGAAACUUCUUAAAAAUGUUUCUCGGUUUAGAUUUUGAGGCAUUGAUAUCUCUCUUGAAUGUAAGAAUGUCAAAAUAAAAUAAUCUAGGACAUUAUAUCUCUAUUUGACUGCUCUGAAUGCCAUGCCACAAUGAAUUAAGUUCAAUUAACAACCAACUUUAAUGAAGAAAGUCAAAGUUUCAAAUGUACUGCACUCUUCUUCUUUAUCAAGAUUUAACCAAAAGAAGAACAUCCUGCUGAUAUAGCCUUGUCCUUAAAAGUUUGGGGUCCUUCCUCAUUGAUGUGACACACACAGGCCACACAAUCCAAACGGUCAUGUUUAUAGCCGUGAUUGUGAAUCUAUAUUCUAUAGUCACAUCCAUGCACCGUAAAUUUGUUUUUCAGUCCUAUCAAAGUCUGUUCCCUUACUAAUUUUAUGCUGUGGGGAUAAAGGCAUACCUGACAGCUUUCUUGUUGGUACAGGAAGAAGGCAUUAGUUUGCUUACUAUCAUUAAAGGUACUUGCAAAUACCGUCGCUCAAGGAAGUUAGAUUCUGUUGCAGAUUUUCUGCCUCCUAGUAGGCAAGAAUUCAAAUAUGCAUUUGAUCAAGUAGUUGGGUAAUCAACAAAACAAUUCCAUGCACACUUAUUUAUUUUAAUUUUUGGUGAAUAUUUCCAUGGAUUCAUUUUUGAUUCCUUUCAACCUUAUCCAUGAUUAAGAUUGUUCUUAGGACGGGACCGCAGUCACCUGAUCCUGCUAUAGACUGACCAUUUGAAAACAUUAUGAUUAUGCAUGCUUAGAGAUAUUUAAUCUGAAAGAUAAGAAUUUUAGUUUUAUUGUCUGUGUUUUUUAAUCAUUUGAUAUUCUCAGAGAACUUGUCAAACCUUGUUCUGAAUUUAUGCUAGACUCUUUGCUCACCUUUCUUCUGUCUUCCUUUUUGGACAAAAGGUAAACCUAUUGAUAUUUUUGACAAAGUUUGGCUGCUGCAAGAAAACUAAAGUUCAUCUCUUUUGAUUUUUCACCUUAUCAGUGAGAAAGUUGUAUUGUAGAAUCAUAAAAAUUUUAGCAUAUGUGAUUAACAUAUUCAUCUGUUUCCUCUAAUCGCUUCGCUCAAUCUGAUCCUAAAUGAGCUGUAUUAAAUUUAUGUGAACCAACUAAGUUUUAUAGACACUAAAUAAACUUGUAUGGCUUUGACUUGUUAUCUCAUGUUAACUGUAAACAAUCAGUAGCAAGGAUAAUAAUCUUCUGCGGCUGUUGUAAAGAAUGUUCAUUUCUAUCCAGAUUAAGGUUGACUAUUGAGCACUUUGGUCUGAAACCUAGUUAGGUAGUACCUCGCAUCUCCUAUUCAUGACUGAGGGUUUGGUUGUAUACCCACUCAAACCAUCCUGUUUGAGUUGCAACUUUUUGCACAGCUUUCUGUACUUAGGCUGAAGCUGAUAUUGUAUCACAUAAAUUGCAGAUUGCUUCGUGUUGCUUCUAGUUCAGUCAUGCUAUCAACUUUGGAAGACGGAAAAAUUGUCAAAGGCCUUGCUGGGGUUCCAAAUGAAGGUCCCGUCUUAUUAGUUGGUUACCACAUGCUACUGGGAUUUGAACUUUAUUCACUUGUUGAAGAAUUCUUGAGAGAGAAGAAUAUAAUGGUUCAUGGUAUAGCCCAUCCAGAGAUAUUUUUGGGGAGGCUUGAGAAUUCAUCCAAUGAAUUUGGUAUGACCGAUUGGUUAAAAGUAAUGGGUGCUGUACCUGUCGCAGCAAGAAACCUUUUCAAAUUGUUGUCAACAAAAUCACAUGUUCUUCUUUAUCCUGGUGGUGCACGUGAGGCUCUCCACUACAAGGUAUGUUGAGUUCCUUGCUGUCUUUUUUAACUCAAUGUCUUGGUAGACAUAGACCUCACAUAUUUUCCAGUAUCUGCUCGGUUUUAUUGAGAAAAUGGAAGCACACAUGUGUGAAGAAGUUUUAUAUGUCACUUUAGAUUAUAAGUCGGCCCAAACACUGGUUUCCAUAUUCUGACGUUCAUUAUUGCCUGACCAGCGAUACAGUUUCUUUUCAUCGUCUUUCAAAUUAACCAUAAAAUGCCCAAAACACUCAAGUCCUUGGGAAUUAUAUUUGUUGGAUUAUAUUUCUGAUAACCUGGGCAGUAUCAGAAUUAUUCAUUCAUUCUGUCAGGUUUUCAUCUCUUAUAACAUUAGUUGUUUGAGCUCAAAAUGAUUAAAAUGUCAGAAUUCAUCCUGCUAACUUAUAUGUUCUUUGUUCAAUUUCUUCUCUUUAAUAUGUUUGCAGAUUGUUUCAGUUGUUUCACAAAGUCCAUCUCUGUGCUUUACUGAUACUUGACCCAACAAUUUAAUUUGAUAAUGUUUCUGCAAUUUUUCAGGGUGAGGAAUACAAACUGUUUUGGCCCGAACAGCAGGAAUUUGUGAGGAUGGCAGCACGGUUUGGGGCCACAAUUGUACCCUUUGGGGCCGUAGGAGAAGACGAUAUAGCAGACGUAAGCCUUUGCAUCUUAUUGCUAACAUUUUUCAAAUUUUUACUGAAGAGUCUCCCUUUGACAUUGGAAAUUGGUCUUCACUGGCAUCCAGCCUUCCUUGUUCAUUAGAUUCUAUGAUAAGUAGUAGUUAUAGAAUUUGUGAUAUAGGAACUGUAUCCUAAUUGAACAAGUAAUAUUUCAGAGCAAUGAUUAAUAUAUGAAACCUUGAAUUUUCUAGGUAGAAUCUGAAUGAUUUAAGAUGUCUUGAUACUUAAUUGCUAAUUCUGUUUCCUUUUUCCUCUCCUGAACCAUAAACAACUAACGAUAUCUUAUUUUUACCUGGAUUGGAAAUUAAUAACUUGCUCGGUUACCAUCUUUGUAGCAGUUGGUUCUUGAUUACAAAGACCUAAUGAGUAUCCCCGUGAUUAAUGACUAUGUCAGGGAAUUGGCUCGUGACACUGUAAACAUAAGGUAAUUACCUUCCUUUGAUCAUAUUUUCCUUUUACCUACUGUAGUAUUGGAAAAUUUGUCUUGUAUAGCAUUUUUUUUUUAAAAAAAAACCUUCUUUUCCAUUAGUGGUUAAGAAUACUAAAUCAAAGCAAGGCCACAGAAGAAGUGCAAAACAAAAUUGUAAGCAAUGUAUCAGCUGCAAAAUACAAUGUGAAGAUAUGAUUACAUGUACUGAUCAUAAAGAAUAUCCUCUGGUUCUAGGGAUGAAACUAGAGGGGAGGUUGCAAACCAAGCACUCUUUUUUCCAGGACUUUUGCCAAAGGUUCCUGGCAGAUUUUAUUAUCUGUUUGGGAAACCCAUUCAGACAAAGGGAAGAGAAGUUUCUCUGAAGGACAAGGAAAAUGCAAACGAAUUAUACUUGCACAUAAAAUCUCAAGUAGAACGCUGUCUUGACUACUUGUUGAAGAAGCGAGAGGAGGAUCCUUACAGGAAUAUUAUUGAUAGAACAGCGUAUCGUGCGGUUUAUGGUGAUGAAGUUCCAACAUUUAAGCUAGAUUGAUGCAACAGGUAUAUUAUUCCAGGUAACAAUGUCAAGCCACCAUUAUUUACCGAGGUAUAUUCUUCCAGACAACAAUGUGAAACCAUCAUUCUUUACCAGAAGGUUGAUUAUGUGUAAUACCAUUUAAAAAUGUAACAAAUACAUGGUGCUCCCAGUAAUGUCACAUGUUCAUUCUUUAUUGGAACAUAAAUUUUGUAAAAUACCGUGCAAGCAAGAAAGCCAUUGUUCUUCUUUAAGUUCUAUUCAUUCUAAUGUUGCAAUUAAGGUCUAAUAUUUUUUAUUACCUACCUUUAAGGAAAUACUUAUUUUCCCAUCUAUCUGACAUAUGUCAUUUUGUGGAGUUGAACUCCCUACGGAUGACAAUGGAUGUAACAACACGUUGCUACUCAAACUUUAGCUGUUCGGAGAGUCUGUAAUUAACCUUACUGAGAAAAGCAGAUCACUGGGUUUGGUAGUACUUCAGGAAACCAGCAAGACAAACAAUAAAGCCGUUGAGGGUUUCAAUUUCGUGCACCCCAAGUUCCCUGCCAACUCGAUCUUCCCAAGACUGGGAAUUAUACAUGGAAUAAUAGAAAGAAAUUUAUCAUCUGCCAGGUGCAUCUGGAUUCGAGGAGGAUGAAGUAUAAAUUUAUUAGUGGAAACCAGCACUGAAUAAUUACAUUAUGAAAGUGGGCUAACAAUGCAGGCCAAUGAGCAGGCAAUGCCACUGAAAUAUAUGAUUCUGAAGAGUUUUUGAUGACACAGCAGCAGAAACUACUGUGAGUUUUAGAGGUGCAAAGUGCUUUUAUGGAAAAGAAAACUCAAGUUAAAAUGAUUAGCGUAUUUUCUAGUGUCACUUUAUCUGCUUUUGGUGCAUUGACCUUUUUGCGUGAAGUAUUUUGGGGUCUGAACAUGAACUAUUGUGUGUGUGCCAGAAAAGAACAUGAAAUGUUUUAGAUAAGAGAAAUUUCGAGAAAAAUAAGUCAGUUGGAGUACACUUUAGAGAUGCAAAGUGCCUUUUAGAUUGGAAAAUUACUUUUUACAGAAGCACUUGAUUCGUGUUUUUCUUAAUGGUGCUCAUAUUUGCUUUUGUGAAAAGAAAGCUUGUACUCAAAAAGUUUGCUCCGCAUAAUUACUGCUGCAAACACCCUUAUUCUUUUCACAUUUACAAAAAAGGACUACAUUACUGUGAACAAUAAUGCAUUCCGGCUUGUAGACCUAACUGCAAUCAAGGAAGAAUAUCUGGGUUUUAGUAUAGAUGGACUUUAGUUUAGGGGUCACUCUGUAGAUAUUUGCUGAUGUGGCAAAAGUCGUUAAGACCUGGUGCGGGGUGAUUUUCUCUCUUGUUGCUUGAUGAAAUUGGAUGACUCUUGUUCCUUUGGAAUCAGUGUAAUCUCAUCUGUAAUUAUUGAUCUGCUUCGUGUCAGAUUGAUCAAUAAAAGUGAGCUAAUUUUUCCUUCUAUAAUGAAGCUUGGUGCUGGUUUUAUUUUUGUUCUUGGUUCUAGUUUUGUUCUGAUUUUGUUCUUGACCUUACAUCUUGGCCGAGAUUCAUUUUUCAGUGUGUUUUGCUAUUCGAUUUGUUCAUACUCUGAAUCUUUACAAUUACACUGCAUGCAAAACAGUGUAAAGGGGAUACAGGGGAUAGGUAAUGGAGGUUACAGCCCAUGAAGAAUAUGAUUCUUUAAACUUUUUUUUUUUUUUUUUAGUGAUAAAAAUUGAAAAAGAAUCUUUAUAGGGGGAAAGAAUAAGAAUAUAAUGCUAACUGAAUCUGGGAAGAAGAAUAUAAUGCUUGGCUGUCUUGAUGUGGGCACAAAGACAAUCGUUGAAAUUCUGGCAUGAUGGCGUUUUUAUGCUUCCACUAGCUGUAAUUCCCAGUGCCAAUCCAUUGAAGAUUAUGUUUCAAUGACAAUUACACAAAGGGAUGUUUGUAGUCCUUACAGUGAAAGAAAAAUUAUUGGCGUGAAGUGAAUUAGUGAAUGGAAGUCACGAUCCUUGGAGCGAACCAGAAUAUGAUUCAUUCUGUUAACUUUCCGGAAAUGAAAGGGAAUCCCCACGCGCAUUAGGAAAAGGUAGAAUAUGACUUGGAGAAGCUAUGCCUUUGAAUCUUACAUCAUUUCAUUUAAGCAAGAUAGAACCUAACUUUUGUUCUAUAUAAUGUGAAGUUUUAGCAUCUCUGAAAGGUGAGAAAGAAGUGCUUUAGUUCUCCACAUAGAGAGAAAUAAGUUCCCAAACUCUAGGCUAAGCAAUGGCUAGUUAUGGCUACCCCUCUAAAGCCUACCCUGCUUACAAUGAUUUAACACCAUGGGUAAAUUAUGGGGACAAAAUCAGAUAUGCCCCCGAUCAUGUUUGCAAGCCAGUCGUUGUUGAUGCUGAUGGGAGGAAACAUCCGGUCGUUUCUUACACUCCCAGCAAUAGCGCAGAAACCCGUGUUAUAGAAACUCAAACCAUUGUGAUGCAGGAGGUCCGUUCACCUGUUGUCAAUGGCAACACUGGUUAUGGACAUGUUAAAGAUACACCUUUUGUCAAUGGAUACAAACAUAGUUCUCCCGAGCAUGGGCAUGGCAAUCCUGGUUAUGGACAUGUUGAUGAUAAGUGGUAUAGGUCUUCAAAUCCAGAUCCUGGCCGGGAUAAGUGGUAUAGGUCUUCAAGUCCAGAUGAUGGCCGCGAUAAGUGGAAUAGGUCUUCAAGUCCAGAUGAUGGCCGCGAUAAGUGGCAGAGGUCUUCAAGUCCAGAUCAUCAUGGCCGCCCUCAUAAGGUUAAGGAGUUUCUCACCAAGGUGCAAACUGAAGCUAGUUUACCGAAGAGGUUUGGUCUUUUGAGUCCUUCAGUUUGGCGCCGGUCUCCUGAUUCCACAGGCCAUCAUGGGCAUGGGCCUGGGAAUGGCAAUACCGGCUAUGGUGAUUACAGUGACAAGAGCAGCAAGGACGGGCACAAGCCGAGUGUUCGUAAUGGGGAUUAUGAUAACUACUACCACAACAAUGGUAGCAGGACGGAACCGACUGUGACCAAUUCUGGUGGAUGGACAAGGCCAACUCGUGCAGGAUGGGGUGUACCACCUGAUGCCUCACUUUCCAGUCCAACAAACGAUAUCAACACAGCUGUGAGGUACUUGCAGGAAGGUGCCAGACCUACUUCAGUCACCACUGCUCCGCAGUCUCGCGUCACUGUACCGAUCACAACAGGACCUAGACGAGAUGACUAUGGUCAAACUAUCGACAGCAGAGAGGCUGCAAGGCGGUAUGGCAACCUCGGUUCAUCGCCUGUGCCCGAAGAGAGGUACACAGGGACUAUUGACAGCAGGGAGGCUGCGAGAAAGUACAGGGGCACAACCGUGUGACAGCAACAAUUGUGCAUGGCAUAAUAGUAUUAAGCUCUGGCAUGUGAGUCCAUAUAGUGUUUCCUUGGAUGACCCUUUGUUACUGUCUGUCUGGGUGCGUUUUCUAUUUUGUUUUUCGCUUCCUUGUUGCUUUCUGGGACCAAUAGGUAAGUUGUCAUAAUCGCGUGUUUGUGAUAUCAGUAGUAAAAUAAGCUUUCAUUAUGAAGCACUUUGCAAUAAAUUGAUGGAGCAUAUUUUUUUUUUCAACAAUGAUACAAGUGAAUAACAAUUCAUUUACUUUUAACCUCUUCACUGAGUGAGUGGAGAUACAGUGCUUUAUUAAGGUCAUCUACAGCUAUAAUAACAGGUCCAAUUGCUUUUUAUAAAUGAAAUGCAAAGCAGAAAAUAUGGGUUAAUUGCACAAGAUUGAGACUUCAUUUACAUUAACUUAUGCAAUUAAAACACCAACAUAUCAGUGAGACUCUGGAAUGUAGGGUAACUGCUAAGCUACUUCUUCUUGCAUAUUAUGUGACAGAUGUCAUUUGGCAGAGUUUAGGAAAGAAUUUGAUAUUUUUAAUUGCGAUAGCAUAAUAACAGAAUGACAAAAACUACUCAAGUCAGAGUGAAAGCUAGUUUUUUUAAGUUCAAAAUUAAUUUUCGACAACAUCAUGGCCUUGCUUGUUGAACCUGCAUACAAUAUUCUGUAGAUACUCUCUGGAUGUUGUUAGAUUUAAAAAGACCUUAAAAUUGGCAGAGCUUUGAAAAACUUGGGUAUCAGAUUUGAUUAUGGUGACAAAAAUUAGAUAUUAAAAGCUAGCAACUAAUUUCUUUAUUUCGCUAAUUCCCUUGGGCGGCCACAGUGGCAUUUUAUUGGUGGGUUCGCGGAACUGUUCUUGGAAAAGACCAUCGCCGUGACACUAAAUGCUAGCUUGUUGACCAACUUGUUGACACUCUAGCUAUAUGUGUGUAAAUUAGUCAACGAGGUUCUUUUGUUCUUAACUUUUAAAAAAUAAAAGUGAAGUGAAGAAGAACAUAACAUGGGCCAUGGAAGCUUAGAAGAAGAAAUGACAAUCUCUGUGUAUGUUUAGACCUUAGAAGAAGAAAUGCUUGUGAGCACGAGGAGCAAGAAAAUAAAAUUUGUGACCUCUCCAAAUUGACACCCAUACCCCAUGCAUUAAUUAGGAGUACUUUGUUUCUCUUUUCGUUUGCUAGCUAUAAACAAAGAAAUUAAUAAGCUAUUUGAGAAUUCCAUGAACCGGUUCUAUAUUCCUUA